rnacentral:lncRNA from 1 species
AAGAGAAAGGGUUCAAGUCAGCUUUUGCGCACCCUGGCCGAUAUCAUCCUGCUCUCAGAAUUCAACGUUCAACAUAUUGUUGGGGCUGUUAAGCACUAAACAGACAACACGAGGUUGCAAACCCCCCGCCCACAAAGUAUAAGUAGACAUGGGCUUUGUCACCAAGGCCCAAUCAAAUUUAUAUGUAUUGUGUAAAGCCUGCAUCCAGAAUAGAAAAGCAUCAUAAAGUUGAUCAGUUUUUCAAGUCGAUGGAAAUUACUAGGGGUCCUACUAGGAAGAAAAAAAAAGUUAUCUCCAUUAGUCAGAAUAUAUGCAGUUGCAGCAGUUAUGAUAUUGAAAAGGAUUUUUAAAUAACAUUGAGCAUGCAAAAUAAUUAAUAUACAUUCUGAUGAUCUUGGCACAGACUUGCACGACUGGUGGGGUCAAAUGGCAUUAUUCUCAUCAUAUUCCUUCUCUUUCUGAAAUCAAAAGACAAUAUCCAGUCAUCAACGAGCCAAAAACACGACCCGCAUCCAAAAAUGAAAGAUACUACUUAAAACUUAACAUGGCACUUCUGAUCUGAGGUAUCUGCUUGAGUUGUUGAGCACUCGGAAUCUAAGUGGUGUACUGCUGCAAUAACCUGUGAGUAAAAGAAACAUAUAAAAUGCUUAACGUUUUGAAAGUUUCCAAAUCUUGGAGAUCCCAUCCAGUUUUCUUCUAAGCAAUUAUCAACUGAUACAAAAAGGUAAUAAUAAAUAAAUGACAUCGAGUACCAGUUUCAUCAUGUCUAACAUGGAAGAAAUCAAAUGUCUAGUUUAUUUGUCAUAAAAUAAUAUUUCUUACCUUCUCGUUUUUCUCUGCAAUGCUUGGACCAUUAAUUGCAGAUUGAAGUUCAGAAGAAGCAGCCUGCCAUUGGAUGAUUAGAACAUAUAUGUAUUAGUCUUGAGCACCUUAAUACUAAACAAGUUAAAUGAUUUGCAACAUCCAACACACUCGCCUCUGAUACACAGGAGUUUAAGUGAUUGUUUUCUUGUAGGAUGUUGCCAACUGAGUGCUGCACCUGACAUGUCGGUAAAGCUGCACAAAAUUUAUUGACCCAUGCUUGCUAUAUCUAAUGCUUUUUCUUCAACUUGCAUCAUUAAUCACUUUGUAGAAUAUAGGCAGGCAUGUCGUUAUUAUUAUUAUUUUUUUUUGUUAUCGUUAUCUUUUAAUGACUACCUGGUAACCACUGUUUGCAAUUUUGCAUAUCUACUUUAGGAACCAUUUCGAGGAGCUGCCUCUCAAUUUGCGAAUAUCAUGUACGGAUGCUGACUCGGUCAAAAAGAUGAAUUUUGUCCUAAAAUAUUACUGGAAACAAUUACAACGGAACAGCAUUACCUUUGCCUAAUCAUUAGAUUGGUCUUUCAAACAACAGCCAAAAAAUGGAAUGUGGUGUUUUAACAUGUGAACUUGGGAAAUUGCACCAUGAAUAAUCAUAUAUAGUUGAACGGGACGUAAAACUCUUUACAGAAAGAGCAGUGCUGAAACAAGGUUAAUGACUAAUGCACUCCUAAACCACCAUAGUCGAACAGAAAAACUCUUUACAGAAAGAGUAAUUCUGAAACAAGGUCAAUGGCUAAUGCACUCCUAAACCACCAUGGGUUGACAGAAAUACAUUUACAUUAUAAUGCCAACUACUUUAGAUAACUUUCUUGGCAUGUUACAUCUUUCAGAAUGCAUUAAGUAACAAAGAGAAACAUUCUCUUCUAUCGCUAAUCCUCAGUGAAAUAAACACAACAUGAAGAAGGAAUAGCAUACCUAGAUUCUCUGCAGUUCCCAUCAUGGGAGCUUUAAUAGUAGACGAUUCUCUGCUCAUUAGGACAUCAGCUUCAAUUCUAUCGGCCACUUAUAGUAUAGAUAGUGUCACCAGUAAGAACCAGCUUUCAAACAAAGGUAAAAGUUGUAGCACACCAUCCCUAAUUUAGCUAAAAUUAAUCUGUUGAGUUACCUAUUAUCUUCAUUUCUCCUGACCGUAUCACAGUCAUCUUGACAUUUCAGUGCAGAGGAUAAUGCCUUCUUGUCCUGUCAUCAGACUCUAGGAUAUUUCAGCCUAAAAAGCAAAUGCAAACAAAAGUUGAACUAUACAUGAAGCUACUAUGUAGUUCUUUGUGGCAUCAUGGUACAGAUUACCAAGAUUUAGAGGGUACUGGAAAGUACAUGCAUAGCAUAGAUUGAUGGAAUAAAUUAAUUAUAAAGAAGUCUAUGCCUAUAGCCAAACCAUUUUAGAUGGAACUGCCAGAUUUUGGAAUAGAGGUUAUAAUGUCAUCAACUGAUCAUGCGUAGAUGUCCUUGGAUCUAUAUCUUACUCGCCAUCAAUACACUAAACAUAUUCAAAACUUCAAAUGGUUCUUAGAAACGAAAAUAUAUGAUAGAUUUAAUUGGAGAGAGUAAAUGCUAGAAUUUUUUUUUAAAAAAAAAAUGCUAGUAAGUUAAAAUAAAUAAAUGAAUAAACUUUGCUGACCUCAUCAUCCAUAUUUUUAACCGUCUCCUUAACCUUCUGUAAUAUUACUGCUAAAUUCCCCACUUCACAUUGUAAAGCCUGAUUCCCAGAAACAUCAAAGAGGUCAAUAAGGACAAAGAAGAAGAAGUCAAACAGCCAGCGUUAGAUUCUAACCUCUUUCUCAGAAAUCAGACUCUGUAUAACUGCAUCUUUUGCUACAAGAUUUUUCUGGAGGUGAGAUUGGUUAAGGUAAUCCUUAAAAGAACAUCUUCAGCUGAAAGUAAAUUCUUUUGUUGGAAUCUAGAAAUCAGAUAGAUAUUAUGCUUGCAUGGAUAUCUCUUCUAUUUGAUUUUGACAAUUGUUCCUAAUAUUUGCUGCUUCCAGUUGUCCUUCUAGCUCUGAUAUAAUUUUUCCCUUUGUUUGGAGCUCAUCCUCAUUAUUUUUCAGUUUAUUUUUCAGGUCAUGGACCUUUUCUGCCAAGAAACAGAAUGAAGGAAAAAUAUAUAGACAUAAUCAGAUAUUGAAAAGCUUUGUUUUUGGAAUUAAAUGCUAACUCGGCAAUGACAGGGAUUAAGUUUGACCGCAAUGAGGGAAUCAAACAUUCAUGUUUGACAAAGAAAGAAAAAAGAAAUACCUUGGUUACACUUUUUCCAAAAGUUAUCAACUAGCGACAUUGCAUAUGAUACACUCACUUGGAUGAAACACGGUAAAAUGCAUUUUCACGGUCUAAAAGCAAAUUCUAGUUAAGGAGGGUGAAUGAGAAAAUGGGUUUUACCAACAAAUACUUCUUCAAAGGCAGACACCUUAUCCAUCUUGCUCCUUAAGCCAGCUACUAAAUAUAGCAAAGAAAGUUAAUACAAUGCAGAUAAACAAUGUUACAGAGUUCAUUAUAUUAUGAACAGUCGCUGCUAAUAAUCCAUUCUAAUAUGCCUAGAAGCUUUAACAGUUAAGAAAGCUCCAUACCUACUUCCUCUUUUUCAAGCACAAGGAGUUGCACAUUGUCCAGAACUUGCUUGAUUGAGAAAGCUUCCUUUUCUAUACUAUCAAACAAUGAUAGAUGAGAAUUUAGUUUUUCUGAUAGGACACCGAGCUUUCUAUCUCUGGCUUCGAUUGAACGUUUCAUUUCACAAGUUGAUUCCUGCUCAUAAACAUCAAUUAUCAAGUCAGUUAAUGACAUAUCAAUUAUAGGCAUCUUACCUUGAAUGCGAAUCAAACGCAUAAGAUACCAGUAUUGAUUUGUUGGACUUGGUAACAGUUUUUGCCACAAUUUCAGCUCUUAAAAUGUGGAGAGCAUAAUAUCAACCUGUCUUAAUUAAUUUGAAGUUUAGCAUUAAUUGAUACCUCUGUGUUUUGUCAAAAUUAACUAUUUAAUUCCUAUUUCAAAUUUACUUAAUCAAAAUAUCUCAUUAUUUUAUGAAAUUAAACUUUUUAAAUCCUUCAUAAAAAAAAUGUUAAUAACAUAUUUUAGACUUUAAUAUUUAUACUCCCUCAGUGACUCGAUCCCAUGACUUUUAUCCAUCUUUCAGCAUUUUUUUUAUCUCAAAAUUAUUAUCCGCUUUCCUUUACCUAUUAAUUUACUAUUAUAACUCUAUUUAAUUUUAUCUAAUUUUUAAGAAACCUCUCAAAUAAUAAAAUUUAAUAUUUUUAAAAAGAUAUAAUUAAAAAGUUAAUAAAAAUAAAAGAUAAAAAUUAUAACCAGAGAUAGUAUUACUUAGUAUCUAUAAUUUUAACAAUAUGUAUUAUUUAGUUUUUUUAUUUUAAAUAUCUAUAUUAUUAUUAGGCCUGAAACAAAUUAACUAACAUUGGUAGAAGGGCUAAAGAAUUUGAUCACGAUAUAUUAAUUUAGUUUAAAAUAAGGAUUAAGUAGUUAAAUAUAAACAAAUAUAAGAACCUGGUACUAAUUUAUCCUUCUUUAUAAAAUAAAUUCUUAGGGCACCACACAAGCAAAAUGUAAUGAGUUUCACUCAUGUACUUCUAAGUAGAAAACAAAAAUGAGUUGAUACUUUACGAAUAUUCCGCAAUUUCGUUCUACUGGCAUCCACGAGCCAAAGGCUUAAGAAACUCAAACCUCGUAUGCAUGAACGAAACUUUCCCUCGAUUGAAGCAGGCUCUGUAUUGUUCCUUGCAUCUCCUUUAGUCUAUUCUCAAGCAAAGCAUUGUCGUCUUGAAGGUAACUCAUCUAUAAGAAUAUUACUCACAAUCGCCAUCAAUCAGCAAUGAGAAAUUAAAAUUAGUUUCUAAGAAGCAUUUCCACAAACACGAAAGCUAACCUGGCGGUCAAGUUUGUGGCGCAAUUCGUUGGAAGAAGCCAACUCCGCUUGCAAAUCCUGCAACUUCCUUCCAUAUUCCUCCUCGGAUUGCUUUUGUUUCUGUACAAAACUUCAAAUAUUAAAUUUCCAAGACAAAUGAAAUAAAAGAAAAUAAAAUUAAUGUGGAAGAACCUGAAUUAGAAUAUGGCAUUGCUUGGUAGCAGAGCGUUCCCUUUCCUGCAGUAAUCCACAAACAAGAGUGACAGAGGGUAGGCAUAAAAUGUGAUUGGCGAGGAAAAUUCUUACUCUGAGAUCUCGAAGUUCGGAGGUUAUGGCUUGAAGCUGAACCUUGAACUUGGAAAGUUUAAGCAAUUCCAUUUUCCUUCCAAAAUUGAAAUUUAAGUUCAGCCGCAACUGUGUUCUUUUUUUUACUGCACCAUUCAAAAGCAAAAAGAGAAGAUGCUUUGGCCUCUACUAUCUAAUCUCCGAUCUACAGUUACAGACAAACGACUUUGUCGUUGCUGUGGUGGUAAGGUCUCAGACUCGCGCCAGCCCCCUGAUUAUCUCUCGAAAUUGUUACAUUUUGAAACCCAGGUAGUUCUAAAAUUUAACAACUACGGUUGAACCUCAAAUUAAGUGAGAUCAUCUAUAUUUUCGCUACUAAUUAUCACACUUUCAUGAAUUAAAUGAUAUUAUCUUUGAAUAUGAUGAUUUAGAUCGUAUAGUAAAGAUACACUAGACGUCUAAACGCGUCAGUUUAGACGUAUCCGUAUGAUUUUUAGAGGUUGCAAGGUGAAGUUGAGAAUAAAUUUUGCAAAAGCUUUUGUGCAGUGAGUGACACAUAAAGAUGUGAAUGAUUUGAUGAAGUAUUCCAAUGUCUUAAUCUUAUCAUAGAGUUUCCAAUCCGUUGCAAUCAAUCCGACAGAGGUCUAUCUGCUCCACUGUCUUCCCAUUUGAUGAAUAUGAAUUUUAAAGGAAGCUUCAAUUCAACAGAAUGAUAAUGGAGGAAUCUUUAUUCUUUAAAGUUGGAUUGAUAAAACCCCAAUGGAUGUCACAAUUCCCAUUUCUUUUCUCCCCAUUAUUGCUUGUCGAGUUAAAGGUGAUUAAAUUGCUGUACAAUCAUAGUUACAAGAACACCUUUCAACUUUAUUCAUCAACUUUAUAUUAUCGAGCUGAAUUAACAAAAUUUUUUAUUUCAAAUGAAAAAUAUAAAAAAAAAAAUAUGCUGAGCGUGAAAGUGAAUGCUAAAUGGAUUCACAAGGAAAACCAUUAACAAGCAGCAUACAAGGACAUGUUAGAGAACUUGCCCUUUCGGGUAAUUUAGCACAUGACAUGCUGGACAGUGAAUUUCCCAGUAUUUGUGCAAUUUUCACAUGUAAUUUCCUAAAAUAAAUAAGAUGCAAUUCACGAUUGAACUUUGCAAUUUUUUGGUUUUCUCCAUAAACUCGAAAGAAGACAGAUGUGUGUCCUUUGCUUGUUGCCAAUGCUUUCUAUCAAAUGGAUGAGAUCAAUCAUCAUUAAAACGUGUGAUAAAAUAGAUUGUUCAUACGUGCAAUUUUCAUUCUUCAAGUAACAUUUAUAAUGAUUAAAUUACUAUUUCAUCCGUUUAUAAUUUUUAUGUAUUUUAUUUUUUUAUGCAUAUUAAUAACUAUAAUUUUUUUUAUUAAUUUUUUAAUUAUAUUUAUUUUGAACAUAUUAUAUUUUAUUAAAUAUUAUAAAAAAUUUUAAAAAAUUUAUUAAAAAUAACAUAAAAUUAAAUAGAGUUAUGAUAAUUGAUUUAUAUAUUAUUAUAGUCUAAAUAGAAGUGUAUAAUAAUUUUAAAAUAAAAAUAAAAUAAAAUAAAAUUAUGAGAUAAACGAAAAUAUUUCAUAGCUAUUAUAUAGAAGGGUGACUAAAUUUUUAGUCUUAAUAUAAUAAAAAAAAUAUUUUUAAUUUGAUUUUUCAGUAUAAUCGGUUUGAAAUAAUUUAUUUUAAUUUAAUUAAGUUGGAUUGAGAUUUGAAUUAAUUUUGUUUGCAUAAUUUUUAUUUAUGUUGUGCAUAGUUAAAUUUCAAUCAGAAUUUACUAUCUACACAACCCUAAUUACAUAUACCUAACCAAAUUAGAGAUCUAAAGGAAAAGUUGGCAAACCAUUUGCCUCCUAUCAUUUAUUUUCGGGGACCAAUAUGUGUAAAAAAAGACGAUAGGCUAGUUAAAUAGAGCUUUCAAUAACCAGAAAUUUAAUUGAAGGAUGCCAACAUGCUUUGAAAUUUUUUUUUUAUUACAAAGUUUCAAUUUAAUUAUUUAUUUUUUUAACAUUCUUCGUACUUAAAAACAUGAAACUGAAAGGAGAUAACAAUUUUAAGUUUUUAAAAAAAGUUGUUUAAAAAAUGAAUUGUGAUAAAUUAUUUCAGUUAUUUUUAAUUACAAUUUAAAUGUGACUAUUAAAUUCCAAAGAGAAACGUGUGGAUUUGAAGCACGUGAGUAUAUUACCAUCAGCAUCAUCCGCUGGGCAGGGCAACUACGCAGUCCAGCUGGGCUACUGUAGUCUAUUGUGAUAAAAUUUUAGGGCACGUGGAUUUACCAAAAGUAGGCUCGGGAAAGAAAGCUACUUCGUUAGUUGUUUUGGUAAUGGCGAAUGGCUUGGAUUCAGAGCUGAUGAAUGAUGACGUAACUUUUGGAAUUUAGCAUAGUAAGGGUUUUUUCAUAUAUAUCUGAAAUAAUCUUGGCUUUAAAGUUUACACGUAUUUCAUGCUCGGAUUCUAAAAUUUGAAUUUUCAUACAUUAAAUCAAAUAAUUUAGAAGCACUUAAUAUUUAUAAAUUAAUUUUCAUACAUUAAAUCAAAAUUGCACUCACUUUGAAAUUGGAAUUAAAAUUUGUUGAAAACGACAGCGAAUCAAAAUUAAACUGCAAUCUAAAUUUUUUUGAAUCUUUAACCCAUAUCGAAUCGAUUUGUCCCCCCUCCGAUUUGACUCAUAUAUAGGGAAUAGAUAUGCUUUGUUAUAUGAAUGUGAAGUAAAAUUAAAAAAUUAUAUGACGAUGGAUAAUAAUUUAAGAUGAAUUAUUGGGCGUGCUUGUCGUAUUACACUGGACCCAUCUUAUGAUUUGUCAUAAUCUAGUGGUUAUUGUCUAUCCCCAGCAUAUAAAAAAUGAAAAAUUAAAACUAUUCAAAUAUACUUUAUCAAUAUCUAUAACGACUAUUAGAAUUGUAAUUUUGAUAUUAAUUAUAUAUAUAAUACAUGGACUUUUAAUUUUUUUUUAAUGUAAUUAACUUUUAUUGAUAUUCGAACUUGAAAUCCCACAAUUUUCAUUAACAGUUAGGUAAACUCCAUUAGCAAAAUAAUGUAUUGAAAUGAAUAUUUUUGAAAGAAUAAUAUCAAGCAAACCCGAAUAUUGACUGCAUGGGGCACACCUUCAUGGGUCACAGCCCAGCCCUCAAAUGCAAGUAUCUCCCAAAGAAUGUAUGUAAAACUAACAAUGAUAGACUCAUCAGGCAGACUAACGGAAAAAUACUGUCCACUGACGAUAGUCAAAAGCAUCCUCAUCACCAUGUUCCAUCAAAACCAAAGAGAUGCAUAUCAGCAUCUGAUACUUGCAUUCCUGUUGACUUUAAUCAAAAUUAUCAUUUCAUUUAUAUCCCUGCAUUAUCGAAUGGAGCGGAAUUAGGAACUGUUGAUGCUUAAGAAAUUAAAUCCCAAAUAAUAAGUAUUUUAAAAAAAUAAUCGAUAUAAUUAAUAAUCUUUUCUAUUUUCAUUAUAAAAAUAAAUAUUUAAUAAAUAAAAAAAAAACACUAAAACUUAAAAUGUCCCACACUCUAUAUAUCUUUUUUUUUAAAAAAAAAAAGCCAAUCAGAGUACUCUAUUAACAUCAUCAUCAUCUUUUUGCCUAGGUUUCAAUAGAAAAGACAUUUUUCUUUAAUGCAUACCAAACCAUGGGUGGGUUGCAUCAAACAGAUAACCGACUUUAGUGGGCCACAUGAAAAAAUUAAGAUAAAUAUUAAUAAUAAUCCACAAUUUUUAGUGGGCCACUAAUGAAAGCAUGGUGGGUCUGUCUGCUAAUUAAACAUAGGAUUAUAACCCACAUAAGCAACUAAAACCCAUCAUUAUCCUCAACUUUACAAUAAAUAGAUAGCUAGAUCCCAUAUAUUACAUCAUAAUCAUCAACACAUAAAACAAUCAUUAGGCAUUAUUAGUGAUUGAAAAUCAUGUGUUAAUCAAACCACACGCAGAAAAAUAUCAUCAAAAUGACCAGAAAAUUCAAAAAAUGAAUAUUUCAAUUUGUUUUGUACAUUGGAUUUGUACUUUGUGCAAGCUAAGCUGUGAGGGCCCGUGACGUAAAAUCUCAAAAACACCCCCCACAUUACCUGUAGGGCAAGUAUGGCCGUUGAUAAAAAGAAAGUAAUGUAAUCGGACGGCGGAGAAGUGAGGUGGAGUUGUUCGAGUGAGAAGAGCAUAAAAAGAGAAAGAGCUGGAUCCUCCGAGAAAACCUCACUGGAAGUGACUUAGUUUGCAACUCCCAAGGUCCCUGUCUCGCCCUCUUUUUGUAAUAGUGAGUGCGUAGUGGCACAGUGCGCCCCAACCUCCAUUGUCCAAGGAGAUCACACACACACAUACUCACACUUCUCUAUCCCUGAUUGAAAGCUUUCGCUUUCCUUUUUAUUGUAUUUUGCUGCUUCUAUUUCUUUCUUUCCCCGCUUCAAAAGCGCAUCCAAUAUAAAUCACUCGUCUUCCUGCUCAUUUUCAUUUGAAGGGAGUGGGGCACAAAAUGCUUUGCUAACGGCGUCAGGAGGACUGGAUAUUUUGGCUCAAUUUGAGUUGAGAGACGAAUCGGAUAGUGUGCGAGGGAUAUUGCUAUGGAUCCGCCGGCGAUUAUGAAUGAUGGGUCCUACAAUUUGGCGGAGAUCUGGCAGUUUCCGAUAAAUGGGAACGGGAGAGGUCAAUUUGGGCAGAGUCUGGGCUCUCAGUUUGGGGAUUCAAACCGGGAUGUUUCGGGUAAUGAUCCAAUGAAUUUGGAACACAGAGGAGCUCGUGGUGGCGGUGGCGCCGGUGUAAGAAAACGGCGUGAUUUCGUGGAGGAUGAUUCCGCUCAGGUCUUCUCUUCAAGCAACGCCAAUGGCAAUGGCAUGGUAAUACUUUUAUUUAUUUAUUUUUAUUAUUUGAAUGCUUUCAUUUUUAUGUAUAUAUAUUUUAUUUGGGAUUUGCUUUAUCUUAUUCAAUUCUUAUUCGUUUUGGUUGAUAUUGUUUCCUUGUCUAAUCAUGAAGAGUUAAAAUGUUGUUAAAGAAAGAGUUGUCUCCUUGCUGUUGUCUUUAUCAUGUGAACUUUAGGUGCUUUUUGAGGUUUUAUUUUCAGCUAUCUAUCUUUGUCAAUGAAUUCAAAAGUUGAUGUAACUUAGUAAUCAUACUUGAUUAAAUAUAUAUAUUUCAAUUUAUUAUCUGAUCAACAUGGUAAUUUCUAGCUCUAUUUAUGUAGUAAUGGCCAUCUAGAACGUUUAUUAUCCAGCUUAUCUGGGAUAGUUCUUGGGUGCAAAUUAGACUUUGUGAAAUUACAGUUUGGACUAGCGGAUUUUUUUUUUUUUAAUGGCAUUUUUCUUUUCUUUUGAAAUCUGAAUUGGGCAGAGUGACGCUGAUGCUAAACGGCUUAAAACAUCCGAGAAUAGGGAUGAGAAUCCUGAUCCUAAAGCUGAUGCAGAGCUCAGUUCAGGCAAGCCUGUGGAGCAGAAUGCUCAACCACCAGAACCACCUAAACAAGAUUACAUACACGUACGAGCAAGAAGGGGUCAGGCUACUGAUAGCCACAGUUUAGCAGAAAGAGUAAUUUUCAUUACUCUUAAACUUAUUAGAACUAAUUAAUCGCGUUUGAAGAGAUUGACAAAGAGCUUUGAUAGAAGAGUCUACAGUUUCUUAUUCUUAUUAAUGCACCCUUGCUCUGCCAGACCUAAGUCUAUCAUAUGUAUAUAUUGUUGUUUUUCUUCCUGAUGGGACAUAUUAUGGACAGGCUAGGAGAGAAAAGAUAAGUGAAAGGAUGAAAAUUCUUCAGGAUCUAGUCCCUGGUUGUAAUAAGGUACGUGUUGAAAUUUUUAUUGAAAUUCAUAUUUAGUCCCCAUGCACCUGCAUGUCUGGUCAAUAAGAAUGGUUAUAGAAGUGUAAUUUCUGUUUAUGAAUAGUUUUUAAUAUAAUCAAGAGCCACGUUAUAGUUGAUAACAAGACUACCUUGCUUCUUUAUAAUAUGCAGUACAAGAGAAUAGCUUUGAGAUUUUCUGCUUAACAGGGUUUAAGUUAGUGUUUUCUCUAAGAUAGGUUUUCUGAUGCAGGUUAUUGGCAAAGCCCUUGUUCUUGAUGAGAUUAUUAACUAUAUCCAAUCAUUACAACGUCAGGUUGAGGUAUGCAUCCUUAUUUUUUUCCAUAAUUUAUAUUCCUAUCUCAUUAUACCAUCAACGGUGAAAUUAAGCCCUGCAAAUUGCUGGAAAUGGUAGUUCCUAUCUAUGAAGCUUGAAGCAGUAAAUUCGAGAAUGAACCCUGGAAUUGAAGCAUUUCCUUCUAAAGAUGUAAGUCCUAAUAUUUUCACUCUAUCUAAUUUACUAUUCUUGGAUUGAGAGUGUGGUUAGCACCUUGUUUCUUCUUCUUCUUCUUCUUCUUCUUCUUCUUCUCUCUCUCUUUAGUUACUUGAUGGAUUUUUUUGCCUAGUUGACCGCCUUUAAUGGGCCGCUUUACAUUCAAACUAUGUAUCAAAUUUAUCUGAUUGAUGGAUGGUCUCAAGUUGAGAAUUUCCAACUUAAAGUGAGACCAAGAACAGGAAGGUACUCAAAAGGUACCUAUGAAAGGUUAGGUUAUCCAUAUCAACGAGGGCAGAGCAGAGUUGCCUUUUUCUGACAAGGUUAAUUGUAGCUAUUGAACCUUGACCUUAGGUUAGAUUUAUGUAAAUUUCUUAUAAUGGUGCUCCUCCAGUUAAUUUGGCUAUAUUCUGGGUUAUAGUUGAACAAGUACUAUUUGGUGACUAGAUCAUUUUGGUCAAUGAUUAGGAUAAGUUCUCAUUAUAUUCAUUAUAUAUCUUGUUUUCAUCAUGUACUGAUUCUGCUGGAGAAUUGGUACGGCACAUUCUUAUGUUUGUGGACCUUCAACCUGGUAGAUAUGGUAAGAACAAGUUUCUUCAUAAGUUGGCAUGUUAUUUAUGAACUUCUAUGGAGACUGUCCAUGGCGAUGCUUCAUGAAAUAUAUUGCUGAUUUGAUCAGUUUAUUUCUCACUAUGGAAUAGACUUAGAGAAAACGUGAACAGAAUGGCUGUGUGGGUGACAAAGGCAAGAGAUUUGAUGAUAAAAUUCUUUUCUUUUCCUCAUUUCACGAUUCUUACUGCGAAUCAACUUUUCAUUUCAGUUUGGGCAACAAACAUAUGAUGCUACUGGCAUGGCAUUUGGUUCGCAAGCCACAAGGGAUUACAGCCGUGGUCCAUCACCAGAGUGGUUGCAUAUGCAGGUUGGCGGUGGUUUUGAAAGACCAUCAUGAUCUGAAAAGAUAAUCAUCAGGUGGCAAUUUCUUCUUACUGCAGUGGCUGUCAGAAUAUAUACCUCACUAUGUUAAAUCAAUUAUAGAACAUAAUUUCAUUUUCAACAUAAGACUUGGAGCUGUGGUUGCUGUCUUAAAAAGACUGCUUAAUUUACUACCUAAACAUCUCCAUUCAUUUGUGUGUUGGAAAAUGAUUCUUUACUCCCAUGUAUCUCUUGGCUGGCUUCUUGCUCUUUGUUCAAGUAUCUGAAUAGUGCCUUCCAGAAUGAGUAUUGUACUUGUAAAAGAAAGUUGGUUGUUCAAAUUUUUAAUGCUUACAUAUUGUAUAAAAACCUUGUUUCCGAGAUUGGACCUGUUGAGAAGCUGAAGCUUGUUCAAUAAAGCGAACCUUUUGAAGUCCAAAACUGAUAAAUCACAACCACAUUGCCUUGGUAAUUCCCCUUUUUAGCAUUGGUACUGUCGUCCCUCUCCUUGCUUGUAAUUAAGCGCGAGUGCUAACUGAAAAAUUCAAGCUUUUGUAUUUAUUUAUUUACUCCAUGAAUACUAUAGUAAUUUUUUAAAUAAUAAAUUACCUAAAAAUAAUUAAAAUAAUAAUAACUUAAAUAAUUUUAAUUAUAUAUUUUUUGGUUUUUGUAAUAAGAAUAUUUCUAGAUUAGUUUUUGACGCUAUGAUUAAAUUUAAUCCCAUUUUGAUUUAAUGCAUUUGAGAUAAAUAAUUUUAAGGUAUUAGCAACAAAGCUGAAUCCUAAUUAUUAAGGAAAAGAACUUCCAUUCUUGUUCAUUUAUUAGGUAAAUAAAUUAUGUUAUAUUAAGGGGCGUUUUGCCAAUUUAGAAAGACUUUUUAUUGUAAAUUUGAGAUUGAGAAAAAAUUAUUUAUGGAUUUAGGGUUGGAUUGCCAGACUGCAGUCAAAAAAAAUAUUUGACGCCUAUUUGAUAAGUGCCAAGAUGUGGCGAUGUGGCGCCAUUUAGAAUGGCGCCAGACUAUUAUUUAUUUUAUUUUUAAUUUUUAAAAAUGGACUGACGCCACUUAGAGAGGGCUUAUUUAUUAAAAUAUUAUAAUUAUAUUAAUUAAUUAAUAUAUUAUUUUUAUAUUAUAUUAAUUUAAUAAUUAUAUUUAUAUUAUAUUUUUUUAAAAUAAUUUUUUAUAAUAUAUUUUAUUAAUUUAAAUAUGUUUUUAUAAUAAUAUUAUAAUUAAAUAAUAUUAAUUAUAAAUUUAUUUAUCUAUUAUUAAAAAUAUAUAUAAAAAUAUUGAAUUAAAUCAUUAAUAAAAAAAUAGAUUAAUUAAUUAAUAUGAAUAUUUAAUUUUUUUUUAAAUGGCGAUUGGGAAUAAAUAUGAAAUCUCUCAUAUUUAUUCGGAUAUAUUUACUACUAGAUUAAAUUUAUAAGUGCAUGAAUAUUUAAAAUUAUAAAAAUUAAAUUUAUUUUUAUUAGAAUGCUAUUAUACAAUCGUACAUAAUCACAGAAUAAUAUUAAUGUUCUAAUAUUUGAGAGAGUUAUGAAAUAUAUUAUUAUAUGAUUUGAUAAUUAUUGGGCUUAUCUCACUCGGAGAUACUAAAUCUAAAAAAGUAAAAUAAGCCCAAGGUUUUAGAAGCCCACUUUAUUUAGUCAGUCCAGCAUCUUCGGUCCUAAUCCAGACGCGGGGACAGAUCAGGCCACUCGCAAGUCUGGGUCCUGCACGAAGAAUCCAGCCCAGUGAUGUGACUUAAAGAAGUACAGCAGUCUUGCCUGCAUACACGCCGAAAGAAUUAAAUGGCCGUCUGGUAUAGAGAGGGGUCCCGACUACUGUAAAUCUCAUUAUUAUGGACUAUUAUAAUUAAAUAUAUAAAAAUAAUUCGAUUGCGAUUAAAUAUAUAAAAAUAAUUCAAUACGGUUGUAUAUAUUUAUUUAGUGAUUUUAUUAUUUUAAUAAAUUAAUAUAGUAAUUUUUUAAUAACAUAAUAAUAUUACUUUAUAACUCUACAAAUUACUAAAAUCAGUUAUAAAUAGUUAUUAUAUUUUAUAAAAAUAUUUUUAAUAUAUAAGAGUAUUAAAGGGGCUAUACAUAAAAAUAUUUAAAAUUAUAAUAUUAUCUACUAUUAUGCUAUUAAACAUAUAUAAAAUCACUUCACUGAACUAAUUACUUAAUUUAAUUUUUUUGAUAAUUUAUAAAUAAUACAUAUAAAAUAUUUAAAAUUAUUAUAUUAUUAUACUAUUAAAUAUUAUAUGAGAUUGAUUAAAAAAAAGAUAUUAUAUGAGAAUACUAAAUUAUAAAUUAUUAAAGAAAAAUAAAUAAAUAAAUUAAUUUAAUCACAUAAUAAGUUAAUUAAUAGUAUAAUUUUAUUUUAUAAUUUUAAAUAUUAAUAUAUUUUAUUAUUAAUAUUUAAAUUAAAAAUAUUACUCACUUUAUAUAAUUUUAGUGUUAUAAAAUUAAUAUUAUUAUGUAAUUAUGUAUAUAGUUAUAAAUUAAUAUUAUUAUGUGAUUACAUACUGUAAUAUCCGGCUCGAGUCCGGCCUCAGAAUUUCUGUAGUUCGGUGGAAUCUCGAGUGUCGGAACCCUCGAGAAAGAUAAGACAUAUGUUUUCAUGUGUGUUUUAAGCGUUUUGAAUGUUUUCAAGUGUGAAAGGAAAUGAGUUUUGAAAGAAAAGCAACAAGGGAGAAAGGCAAAGGUUCGGCCGUCGAAGGUCACUUUCGGCCGCCGAACAUUGCAUGGUUUCGGAUUCACGUUCGGCUGCCGAAAGUGGUCUGGCUAGCCACCUAUAAAAGGGCCAACGGUCGGUGGAAGGAGGCUAUUUCUCCUCCACUUGCAGCCAGAGGUGAGUUCCAGCCUCUCUCACGUUGACUUUCAUGGUUUUUAUGAUUUCCUUCAAAUCUUUCCAAGGUUUUAAGAGUUUUGAUGAUUUUUGAAGGUUUUAAGCAAAAAGACUAAAGUUUGAAACUUGGAGAGUUUGAGAACGAAUUUCUCUAUAUCUCCACGUUAGGAUCGUGUAAUCUCUUGUUUAGAAGAAGUAAGUACAGAUCCUGAACCUUCUUUGUUGAUUUUUGAAGGUUUUAUGAAGUUUGUAUGGGUAGUAUGCAUGUUUAGGUUUAGGUGAGGUUUUUGGUGAUCUUUCAUGUUUAAGUGUUAUGUGCUAUGUUUGUUUGGGGUUUAGGAUAGUUUGAGACCCCUUUGUGCAUAUAUAUGUGUAUGUGCUAGUUGGGAGUAGUUGAUAUGCAUGUUGUAGGUUUUUGGGCAAAGUUUGCAUGAAACAGAACAAGGUUCUGUCCCUUGGACAAAACCAGGUUCGGCCGCCGAAAGAAGGUUCGGCCGCCGAACAUGCUUGGAGGCAGUUUCGGCUGCCAAAGCUUGCCCCCGAAAGCUAAGCUUUUAGUUUAGAAAGGGACUUUCGGCCGCCGAAAGAGGGAGUUCGGCCGCCGAAAGUAUGUGAGUUUCGUCUCUGGACGAGACCUUCGGCCGUCGAAGGUGCCGCCGAACAUGCAUGAGUUUCGUCUCUGGAGAGGGGUUUCGGCCGCCGAACCUGCCGCCGAACGUGCCAUGUCCAGCCUUCUUUUGCAUGUUUUCUGUGACUGUUCUAGGAUGGUUUAGAAGGGUUUUGGGGAGUUUCUUAUAAAUGUUCUUGAGUGAGUUUGGUCCCUCAUGUGAGUCCACCUGUGUAGGUACGGACCAGAGGAAUCAGAGAGGUCAGCAGUGAGUCCAGUUUCAGAACCUGCAGAGUCAGUUCAGAGUCAACCCGAGGUGAGUGGAACUGAACUUAAUGUUUGAAUAUGAGAAAUGCAUAUUUUAUCAUACUUCAUGCAUCAUGAAUAUGCUAUAGGGUGAGUGCAUUAGUGUACACGAAGAUGAUGCAUUGCAUUUAUCCUUGAUUCUAUGACUGUAUGGACAUAGUAAGGAUUCAAUAGCCCUUAGAGGAAAGACCUGGAACAGCCCUACGGGGACCAGGCAUAAAGACCUGGAACAGCCCUACGGAGACCAGGCAGAAAGACACAAAGACCUGGAACAGCCCUACGGGGACCAGGCAUAUGGUAUAGAGGGAGUGUUGAUCCGUCCAUGCUGAGAUGUGAUUACUUGUGAUGUGAUACAUUGCAUGAGAGCAUGUUUUAUCACCUGUUCUUUAUUACUGUUCUACUCACUGGGCUAUAGUAGCUCAUCCCUCUCCCCUAACUCCAGUUGUGCAGGUUCAGAAUUUAGAGGGAAGUCAGCAGGGUACAGGAAGAGUAUAUAGUUUGUAAUAGUUAGUCAGUGUGGACAUGUAAAUGUAAAGAGAUAAUGUAUGUGUACAGUGUAUAGAAUGGUGCUUGAGUAUAAGAGUUGUAAUCCCUUUUUGUGUUUUCACAUGAUCAGUUUAUGUUUAUACAUUUUUGUAUGUUUAUGAGAAAACCAGGCUUAACAUUAUGAGUUUUAUCCGCCUAGAGCAAUGAGGAGUUAUAGUAAGGAUUGGUAGAGAAUAGAGAUAGUGCAUGCACAGGUUAAGCCUUGGAAUGAAGAAAAGUUUUAUGUUUUGUACAGAAAAUAUAUGAUCAUGUAUGGGAUAUCACAGGUUCACAGUCAGGAUAGCAGGCUUACUACGGGUCCCGGCGACCUUAAGUCGAUUUGGAUCCUAGUGCCGGUAGCAGUUCGGUUUCCGGGCUGUUACACAUACAACUGCACAAAGCAGCUUAAUAAAAAUAAAUUUAAUUUUUAUAAUUUUAAAUAUUUAUAUUAAUUAAUUAAUUAAUUUUUUAUUAAUUAUUUAAUUCAAUAUUUUUUAUAUAUAUUUAAUAACAGCUAAAUAAAUUUAUAAUUAGUAUUAUUUAAUUAUAAUAUUAUUAUAAAAAUAUAUUAAAAUUAAUAAAAUAUAUUAUAAAAAUUUAUUAUAAUAAAAAAUAUAAUAUAAAUAUAAUUAUUAAAUUAAUAUAAUAUAAAAAUAAUAUAUUAAUUAAUUAAUAUAAUUAUAAUAUUUUAAUAAUUAAAAGAAUAAAAAAAUCAUGGAAAAAGUGCCCAGGACAUUUUUAAAAAUAAAAAAAAAAAACUCUUGACGCCAUUAAUAAUGGUGCCAGAUCCUGGCGCUUAUCAAAUAGCGCAAGACAUUUUUUUCUGCUGUCACCCGGCAAUUCAAUCUUAAAUUCACAAAUAAUUUUUUUUUAAUUUCAAAUUCACAAAUAAAAAAUCUUCUACACCUAAAUUGGCAAAAAGCCCCAUAGUAAGACAUAUUAUUUUAUUUUAUUUUUACAUUGAAGUAAUUAAAUUGUAAUAGUUAGACUAUUUUUAAAAAUACGAUUUAUCUUUGAAAAUGUGAAUUAAAUAGCAUAAUUCAAUUUAUUUGAAUAGGGGCUAAUUUUUAGGUUUAAACUAUUAUUUUAUUAUUAUAAUAGUGUAGAAUUACAAGUUAAAAAAUAGCAAGCUUAAGUGGUUAUUAAUCGCUACAUUUAAUUAGUGGAUGGAAAAUGUUCAAUUUUGCCAUUAACUUAAAUACGUUUUUUCAGUUUAAUAAUAUCAUAUAAAAAUUGACUAAUAAUUUUAAAAUUAAAUUAUAUAUUAUUCGUAAAAAAAUAAAUUAUAUAUUAAAAGAAUAAUUAUUGGCUUCCCCUUUCAUGCCGGUUAGGCAGAUAGGCAAUUACAGUCGCACAAGAGCAUCAAUGUGUCCGUGCUCGCUGCUGCUUUAUAUUAACGCUAUUGCUCGAGCCACGUUUUCCAACCGCAACAACCCAUAACCGCAGCUUUGUCCAGUCAUAACCGCUUCUUCCAAACGACGCCGUUCGUCAACUCCCAUUCCACGCUUUUGGAAACAUCCGCGCUGACGUUUUAGCCUUCACGGCUCACGCCAUCAAGAUGCGCGUGUCAAAAAAUGUCAAGGGGUGAUCUCGUGGGACCCUCACUAAAUAACCACCAAAACGAAAUGCACGCGCAAAAUGGAUGCGCGUCGCUACAAAUUUAUUUACGUAUUCCAAGCUAUUUUAUGUCGAAGGCGAAGAAGCAGCCUGUUAAUACAAAGAAAAAUGUCAUAACUGCAAAAAUAUUUGCUUCAUUGUAAGAAGAAAAGGGAAAAACAAGAAAAUAAGGAAAAGGAAAAUUGAAGCAGGGGACAUUUUCCCCUCUUCUUGUUUCAUCGUCAUUGAAGGAAACCGGAGACAGAAGACAAAACCACAGCAGAGAGAACGAAGAUUCGAAUGUCAUCGGGUUGAGAUAGAUCCUUGCCUUUUCAUUCUUUCAAGAAGAUAAAGAUGAGUGGUGGAUGGGAGACGGUUAGGUCAUCAAGAUCAAUAUUGACCCGAGAUAAGAGCUUGACCGGCCGUUCUACCACGUCUCGGACGGUUCGACUCGGCAGGGUCCAGCCCCAGGCCCCUGGUCAUCGCAACAUCUACUGUAAUGAUCGCGAAGCUAAUUUCCCCGUCGGAUUCAAGGUUCCUCUUUAUAUCUAAUGCGUGCUGCUUGUUUUCAUUUUAGAUAUUUAUUUAUGUCCAUUUUAUUUUUGUGUUGGGUGCUUAGAAACGCGAAGUUUUUGGUUGUUUCUGGUCCAAUAAAACGGGAACUUCUCUCAGUGUGUAAUUAUAUAUAUAUUUGAAAAAAAAUUCAUGAUUUCGGAUACAAAUUUUGUGUGAAUUACAGAUUAAUGUUUAUUUCUUAGGCUUCUUCUAUUAUUAAACGCUCGGUUAGCAGAAUGCAAUCAACUUAAGGGGCUAACAGUUGAAAUUUUCUUUUCUUUUCUUUUCUUUUUUUUUUUUAAAUUAUAUUUUUGUAAUUUUCGAAAAUAGCUUGAGUUAUGGUCAACUUAUUCUUUGGGAGAAAGGAGAGUGCUUAAAUAAAGUUAAUUGCUUUACUUUCCUCAGCUGCUAUUAGGUACUUAAAACGAUGCUUUUUUUUAAAAAAAAAAUUGUACUUGGAAAAUAUUAUGGUUUCUUGUGCUCCCUGAAAUAAAGUAACCAAAUAUGUGACCCGUAAUGCACGAGAUAACCUAUAGGUCUAAGUUUUCCUCCCCUUCCCUUUUGGUAACUCAUUAUUCCUUUAUCUAUUUGAUAUUGCUGUAUGAGUACACUAGUACAAGAGUUAAUAAUCAAAGAUGUGAAGAUCUACAUAUGCAGAUGGACAAUCAGGUUCUUUCUGUUAAAACAUCUAGGGAUUGGGUUGAAGGAUCAAUAUAUAGAUGUUUAUAUGCACUGCAAUACAUAUGUGGUAUCUAAGGGGUGGGACACAUUUAAGAAUUGAGCUGAGUGAAAGUGCCUUAUCAUGGAGAUUAGUUUUUUUUUUUAUGUGAUUGUGCAAAUUCAAGUGAUUCUGUUUUUUUUUACUAGUUCAAAUCUGUAAUUUUUUGCUCAAAUUAAUUUCUAAAUAAUGUAAAGGGUGUAAGUAAUAUACAUAUAAUUGAACAGUGUAUAAAUUGUUCCAAUGAUUACAGAAGCACAUUUUUGUUAUUCAUCAUAACAUGACAAAUUCAUCAUAACAUGACAAAGAAUAAAAACCUUUGUGUCUACUAUUUCUGAUUGGAAAAGGCUGGAUUGUUUCCAGUCCAUACCAGUGUUUUUUCCCCCUUGAAAAAAUAAAUAAAUAAAUAAAUAAAUUCAACUGUUGGAUUUGAUACAAAAACUGGGGGAACCUGGAGGGCCAGUUUUGGCCCUCCCAAACCUUAAACUGGAACCAGCCUUGAACAGGCUCUAGGUCUGUCUCUUGAUAAUAGCCUUAGUGGAGAGGUUUGAUUAUCUUAAUCCCAGUAUUUGAAAGUUGAUCUGCUUGAGAAAAAGAAGGAAGUCAGACCAAUGUCUUGCUUGUUGAUACUCAGCUUGUUCUCCCUCUCUCUUUUCUUUCUUUAUUUUUUUUUUUAAAUCAGUAGAAUGUCUACUUUUUAUUUUAUUGUUCUGUAAAAAUUUUAGGAUAUGGAUUUUAAUUCUAAAAAUAAAAAAGCUUAAUAUCUUCCAAAAAAUUUAAAGCUAGGCUUAGCUUGAUCAGACUUUGGUCUAUCUUUAUCUUUCAGAUUAGAGCAUUAAAUGCAAGUUGUAUUUUACAUGAUUUCUUCUAUAGAUAUCCUUAUGCCCUGGAAAUGUUCCUUGCUUCCCACUCUCUUAAUAUACCUUACUUCUGCACGUCUGGCCGUGUUCCAGAAAUUGUCUAAUGUUGUAAUGCUUUGUUUUAGACAAGUAUUGUGCUUUUUGAUUUUAUGGCUACUAAAAGAACCCAAAAUUUAUAUUAGUAUUAGGUUUGGAUUACCUAUAACUGUUUCUUCUUAAAAUGCUAUUAAUGGGACAAAGAAUUCUGGUUCUAAUAUGAUAAGAUUCUUGCUAAUUAUUUUGACUAGAAAAUGUUACUAUCCAGCACGAGUGGACAACCUGCUAUGACAUGUGAGUUCACAUGAACCAUGCUGCAGUUAGAUCACUGUGCAUUCAGUUGGUUUGGUUGUGAACUGAAAUAACUGAAUGAUCAAACUGAAGAAAAAGGAAACUUAAUUGAACAGAAGUUAAAGUCUAAAUUAAACCUUUUUUUGGUUUGGGUUAAUUUUAGGUCUGAUUUGUUGGGGAUUUCCGAAUGCAAAACUGUGAAAAAAAGAUCAAAUUUAAGCAAAAAAACCCAAUAAUUUCUCAACAGAAUGCACAAAAUGCAAACGACCAAGUAGAACUAAACAAAAUGCAACAGAUUCUUUGACAGAAAAUGCCACAAGCAACUCAUAAAAUGAAACAGAGAUGACAAUGGGUCACAGUGAAAUGGAGAUGAUAGAUGGGUCAGAGAGGGUGCUUGAGAUGGUGAGCGAGUCAUUGACAUAGCAAUCACAGUGAGGUGAGGGUGGUGAAAUUAGAAAUAGAGAAAUGGUGGUGGUGUUAACUGGCAAGGGGAGCUGAGGAAGAGGAAGAUUGGAGGCGGAAGGGAGACACAGAGAGAGAGAGGUGAGGGUGUGAGGUGACGAGAGUGAAAGUGAGACUGUGCCUAUAAGAGAAAUGAUUAGAGGUUUCUUAUUUAUAAAACGACAAAAUGGCAAUAUUUCUUUAAUCUUUAUUUUGUUGUUGUUAUUGUUCUUUUUUCCUAAAAUUUUUUUAUGAACCAAAAAUUGAUUUUUUUUAAAGCUAAUUAAACUGAAAAAAAAAGGUUGAUUUGGUUCUUUUUUCUUCGUGGUUAAUAACUGAAUUCUGCUCAGCCGUAGUUGCAGGAGCUAGUCUGGCUUGCAUAAAAAUAUUAGUCAUAAUAUACGUUAAGGUUAGGAUACACAUUCUUGUCAAAAGGUAUUAUGUUUUCAUGACAUGCAAGCAAUGUCAAAAAGAACUUAAAGCAUGCUGAAGCUUAAACUACAAUGCCAAUAACUCUGAGGGCUGCUUUCUGGAAAAUGAAAAUAUUUUGCCAAUAAAAUAUUUUGAUUACUGCAACUGAAAAUAUUUUGCCAAUAAAAGCUCAUGCACUAUUGAAGUAUUUAAAUUUUGAAUGUUGUUAAUGGACUUUUAAUUAUGCUUUAUUAUACACAGCUUUUUUCUUGGUUUGGCGUCCACUGAAUUUGGUUUGGCUUUAAUUGGUAUGGUAUCAAUUGUUUCAGGGAAACUCUAUAUCGACAACAAAGUACACUUUCUUUACCUUUGUACCGAAAGGAUUGUUUGAACAGGUAAGUUAAUUGUAGCAAUAAGAUUCUUUUAUUGUUGAGUGGAUUUGAUGCUUAGUUAAUUGCUAUAAGCUAAAGUUGGCAAUGUGUUGACUUGACUGGCAAGCUUUAGCUGAGCCUUUAGGUUUUUGAGUGCUAAAAAUUUGGAUUAUAAUUAGUAAAGAGACAUGAAAGGAUAACUGUUUCUUAAGUUAGAAUUCUCAUAUCUGAAGAAGUUUAAUAGCUCCAGUGUUUUUUUUUUCUUUUGAUUCUUAGGAUUAAUGGUUUAAAGUUCCUCAAACAACACAACACCAUGAAGCUAUUUUCUUCCUUUUUCAUCUUUUCUUAAUGUUAUACAUGUUUAUUCCCAUGUUUUACCCCAAAGUUGAGUUUAUGCGAAAAUGCAGAAUCAUUGGUCAUGUAGAUGUAAUCAAACAACUUCUGCAGGUAAACAAUAACCAUCCGUUGCAGACAACAAAAUUUUCAUUUUCUUUUCCUUGACUAGCUACUAUGGGCUACUUUUCUGCAUAUUUGGAUACAUUCAGUUGCCAUAGUCUCCCAAACUAGUGUAGUUUGAUUUAAUAGGUUAGGCUCAAAUGUAUAUUAUAAAUCUGGUCUACUGUACACCUUCCUAUGCUUCUUUUUUUAGCUUGUCAUUUUUUCCUCUGAAAAUCCUUUGUUUAUAUUGAAUUUCAACAGUUCAGGCGGGUUGCCAAUUGCUACUUCCUCUUGAUAUCAAUUUUAUCAAUGACACCAAUCAGGUACGUUACUGCAAAUUUUUCUGAACUCGUUGUUUCAUAAUCAUCAGUGUUAUAUUUGCUACAGUGACAUGUCUUAGAUUAUUAUAGUUGCCAGUUAUAUAUAUUACAUGAUAUGGUUGAAGAUAGUUUUGGCAACAUUUUCCCCUCAUCUGAAAGUGCCUGGAAGAAAAUGAAUCAUCCCUUUUACAUAGAAAAAUAUUGCUCUCAAAUUCUUUAAAAUAGAAAUCGAGCAAAAUCCAGAGCCACUGUUAACAACAAUAUCGUCUGGUUGAGAUUUAAUUUUUGAGGAGUUUGUCUCUGCUGUAUAAAGGGAUGGGAAAUUGGAAAGUGAUUGAUGUAUUUGGCUGAGACAGUGAUAGAGACAGAGGUUUAAGGGGCAGAGUGAGAGUAUUUUACACAUGUUAGGAUGUGUUUGAAAUUAGUAUGAGGUGUUCUUCAAUUCAUGCAACUUGAUCCAUGUUUAGGCUGACAAUGUUGUCAUUAUUUUCUUUUAAUAUCACUUGUAAGUUGAAGAUCAGGAAUAGCUAAAAAAGAUGCAACUGGUGGAAAAUUUCUAUUCGUGUUUAUAGUCUUCCUCUUAUGUCCUUCCUCCUUAUCCUCCUUUUUCCCUAUUGUCCUCAUCAUCAUCAUCAUUAUCUCGUUGUUGUUAAUAUUUUGCAUACAUUUUCUGUGCAAAGAUAUUGAUUCCUUGUAGUUUGCAUUAACAUUUUAGCUAAAUUUUUUGAGUAUUACUAAUGUUAUUGAAAGCUAUUUAUUCUUUUUUCAUGAUUUUGCUUUGAUCUCCUCUUUACCAUUUUGAGACUUAUGCUCUAGGUUUUCUAAAUGUUUUCUGUUUUAUUUGUGUGCUCUACUGUGCUGUGCUUGCUUGUAGUAUUUUCUGAUUUAUCUUAACUUUCGUCUUGGUUCUGCAAGUAGAAUCUCACUUCUAUGCUCUCCUUUUGUACUUGUAUUGUUCUGAGAUGAUCACUCACAUAUCUAUAGGGUUCCAUAUCCUUUUGUACUUUAAGACAGUUUUUGGUUCUGGGAUGAUCACUCACAUAUAUUAAAAGGGUUCCAUAUCCAGCAACAUCUUUGUGUUGAACUAUGCAUUGUACUUCAUAACAGUUUCUGAUUUUGCAGUCCUGUCAAUCCAGUAACAAACGUCGUCCCUCUGAGCCUGGUACUAUUAGUCUCUCUUAUUAAGGAGGCAUUCGAGGAUUGGGUGAGUACUGUUAUUCAUGUUCAUCUUAUUAUAUGCUGUUUGACUCUUUUUUUUUUUUUGUGGACAUGUAAGAAAAAUCUGCAUCAAUAUCCUUGGUGUGUGGUGGACCAGUGAUAAAUUUAUCAAUUGGAUGUGGAGAAAUGCUGAUUUCUCAUAUAUGUUCUUCUAUGUUUUAUUUCUCUUGCUUGUGUAAUACAGAAGCGACUUCAGAAUGAUAUGGUGAUUAACAAUGGUCAUAUAGAGGUCCUGCAAGACCAAAAGUGGGAAACUGUUCCCUGGAAGAAGUUGCAAGUAGGAGAUAUUGUUAGGGUAAGCAUGCGUACAUUUGUUAUUAUUUUUCUUGUAAAUAAAAAUAGAUGAAAUUGUAUCCACAUCAGUGCUCAUCUCCAUUGGGAGUUCGAAUCCAUGAUCUCUCCUUCUGCUUGAAAUUUCUUUUAUCCUUUUCAAUGGAAUGCAUUUAAUGUGUUUGACUAUAAUACUGAAUCCCAAUGCUUGUGAACAACAUUAUAGAGGCCUAGAACUUGAACUUUUAAGUGUUUUUAUGGGCGCAUUGGCUGUCUUCUGUCUUGCUAGUCACAUAAUGAUACUUUUUGACUUGUUGUUGGCAAUGUUUUUGUUGCCUGCCUACAGUAGCACCACUUGAUAUUUUCAUUUUUCCAUCUAUUACCAUUUGUGAAGCUUAACAGAAUAUGAAUGAUAGUAUUAGGAAACUGAAUCUUGCCUGCUGAUACCACUUGAUAUUUUUCCUUUGUUUUCUGAAACUGAAUUUUGGGUUGCUUGCAGGUUAAGCAGGAUGGAUUCUUUCCUGCAGAUGUGCUUUUCCUUGCUAGUACAAAUCCAGAUGGUGUCUGCUACAUUGAGGUUUUCCUUUUCUGCUUAUGCAGUACAAAGUCAUUGUCACAAUAACUGUGCUGUGGUUUCUAUAUUUUUAUUAUUGCCUAUGGGAGUGUGAAUGAUCUACUGAUGUCCUGUAUGUUUCAUGUAAUCAUAUAUUUGGGGGUUUGGCAGACUGCAAAUUUGGAUGGGGAAACUAAUUUGAAGAUCAGAAAGGCUCUUGAAAGGACUUGGGAUUACUUGACUCCUGAAAAAGCUGCUGAAUUCAAAGGUUAUCUUAGGUUUAGAUACUAUUUAAAAUAUAUAUACACGUACAAAUAUAUGUGCAUAUGUGUGCACGCAUGUUUAGGUAUUUUGAGAGUGAAUAAUUGGAAGUAUCACAAUUAAGUUGCUAGGAAUGGUCAUGGAAGGAUUGUCUUUUUUUACCUUUUUUAUUCUACAGAUUUUAUUCCUUUUCUUCAAGGCAUUGGUUUAUUGCUGAAGAACAAAAAAGACGUGUUCUUGAAUUGUUCCACUUCAUGGACACUUUUUGUACUUCUACAUGCUAUGCUCCAGGGAGUGAAAUUUUCUAAUUCUUUUUGUUCCUUAACAAUCUUGUCCUGGUUAAGGUAAUUAAUUUUCUUUUCUAAAAAAUAAAAAAAUCUUGCAGUCCAUGUUCUUGUGAUUGUCAUUUAUAGUAUUCUAUAUUAAAUGGUAACAUUAUUAGACGGGGUCAUUUUAUUUUGCACAUCCUUUAAGAUAUAUUGUUCUGGUCACACUUUGUAAUGCGAUUUUGCCAGUCCAUCUGGUAAUCUCUGCUACAUGUCUUAAAAGUUUCACUUUUUUUUUUAUCUGUGAAUUGAUUUUAAUCAAUUUUUAUUUUUCAGCAACUGAGGUUUUCCUUUUGUGUUGGGCUUCCACUUCGUUGGUGCAUGUUUAUAUAAUUUUUACUUUUUUUUAGAAAUUCCAGUUACUCAAGUGCAGGCAGUUUAGUAUAGUUGAGUUAAAUGUUUUACUCAUUUGUUACAUCUUUACAAGUCAACAUCCUUUUGUGGAAAUUCUUAUCUUUUACUGAAAUCAGUGUAAUGCAAUUAACUUAUAGUGCAACAGACAUCUUGAGUUGGUUAUUUGGUUACAAAUAUAUAAUUGUCAGCAAAGGACACAAGUUCUGUCAAGUUUAAUGAUUGCCGUCUUUCCCUUAAUGCAAAAUCAUUUGACAUGUAUUAUUUUUCUAUUACCUUAUAAUGAUCUCCUUCUUGUUAGUGCAGGCGAAGUGCAGUGUGAGCAACCAAAUAAUUCGCUGUACACCUUCACUGGAAAUCUUAUAAUCGAAAAGCAAACGUUACCACUCAGUCCAAACCAACUACUUUUAAGAGUAUGCUUUGACUUGCACUUUUUUAAUAGUGAGCAAUUAAUUUAUUUGCCUUCAUCUUUUCUUCUAAAAGGACAUCAACAAUUAAUCAGACUGUAGAAACUAAAUACUUUUCAUAGGAACUUAGCGGUCCUCCAUCCAAAAAGAAGAAAAGAGGAAAAUCUCUUUUAUGAUCUCUGCUUUUUAUUAUGCUGCUAUGAACUUAUGCGGACUUCACUGUCUUGUUACUCUGCUGCUAUGAACUUAUUUUGAAUUUUACUGUUGACUGUGGCAUUAUAUUUUCUUAGGGAUGCAGUCUCAGGAAUACAGAGUUCAUUGUUGGGGCUGUUAUAUUCACAGGCCAUGAAACCAAGGUCUGUUUUUAUAAGUUGUAAAUAUUCCAUUGAAUCAUGACCAUAUUCAUUCUUUUUCAAUACUGUUGGACGGUAAAUAUUUCUACAAGAAGUUAGUCAUAUAAUCCUUAACCUGUUGGUAUUUACUUAUGCUCCAAAUAAUGUUAUUUUACUAUGUCAAGUAGCUGUUGCAUUAUGGAAUUUGUGGACUCACGUGCAGGUUAUGAUGAAUUCUAUGAAUGUUCCUUCCAAGAGGAGUACAUUGGAGAGGAAACUUGACAAACUUAUACUUGCCCUUUUUGGAUCUCUUUUCCUUAUGUGCCUGAUUGGAGCUAUCGCCAGGUGGGAUAAUGACCAAUCUGCCAAUCUUUAUCCUUUCUUCUUUACCUAUCUAUUACUUUUUUAAUCAUUAUUUUCUAUGUUUAUGUAUUCUCCUAUGUAAUGAUUCUUUCUGUGCUCGGAGCCCUGCAGUGGUUUUUUUAUCAACAGUAAGUACUACUACCUAGGCCUUGAUGAAGGCGUGCCAACAGAGUUUAACCCUAGAAACCGUUUUGGGGUAAUACAUUCUGACUAUGGUUAAACUUUAUGGUUUCUUUUUUCCUUAUUAUUUACUGGUUUUUAUUAUCUUUAUUUUUUAGGUUGCUGCUCUGGCUUUGUUUACGCUUAUCACUUUAUACUCAACAAUAAUUCCCAUCUCCUUAUAUGUUUCCAUCGAGGUAUAUAUCUUGGCCGUUAUCAUAUUUGGCUGUUAUAACAGUUCAGACAUGAUGUUUUACAUUUAUUUUCAGAUGAUCAAAUUUAUUCAGUGCACCCAAUUUAUCAACAAGGACCUACAUAUGUAUCAUGCUGAAACCAAUACUGCUGCAUUGGCUAGGACUUCCAAUUUGAAUGAGGAACUUGGACAGGUAAAUUGAUGCCAUAGGAAUAAAGUAUUUUGUUUACGGUUGCCACAUCUAGUGAUGUGUCCAUUAUACUAAAGCAGUUGAAAGGCUAUUGACAAAUUCUCUUCUCAUCUGUUACUUUUCAUUAUUUCCCGAGUUAAUUUUUUCAAUUGCUUUUGUCAGGUUGAAUAUAUAUUUUCUGAUAAAACUGGAACAUUAACAAGAAAUCUGAUGGAGUUCUUUAAAUGUUCAAUUGGAGGAGAGAUUUAUGGGCAUGGUCUCACUGAAAUAGAACGAGGUGGAGCAGAGAGGAAUGGCAUAACAGUUCAAGAAGUAUGGUUGCUUUCAUUCUAAGGAAAAUAUUGCUCAACUUAAGAUACUUUAUUGUUAGUUUUUGCUUUAGGUUUGAGUAAUAAUGAAAUUCUUGCAGGUGCAUAAAUCAGGCAGUGCAGUACAUGAGAAGGGGUUUAAUUUUGAUGACUCUAGGCUUAUGCGAGGAGGUUGGAGGAAUGAACCUGAUCCAGACUCAUGCAAGGUGCGUUACUUUGUUCAGCAGGAGUGGAAUGUGGCAUCCUUAAUCCAAGCACAGUGCACCCAUGAGUGCACCAGCUUUAUCUUGUCCAACUUUUUUUAUUCUGUUUAUUUAGAUGAUCAAUGUAAUUGGAUGUUUUCAUUGUUUAUUCAUUAUGGAUGGAACAUUUUGAGUCUUGGUAUAACCAAUUUGUCUAUUUUUGGAUACUGACUAUUCUGCAUUUUACAAGAUAAACAUCUGACUGGAAAAUUGUCCUGAUAAUGAUAAAAUUUAUUUCCUUUUUUUUUUUGCUCUUGUUUCUUUUGAUAGGUGUGGUGCUGUGGGAGGCUGAGAUUCUUUUCUUUUUUUGCCAUUUCAAGACAUAUGUUCUUUUCUUUGUGUAGGAAUUUUUCAGAUGCCUUGCUAUUUGUCAUACAGUACUUCCUGAAGGUGAUGAAUCUCCAGAGAAAAUCACAUAUCAGGCUGCAUCACCCGAUGAAGCUGCAUUGGUUACUGCUGCAAAGAACUUUGGUUUUUUCUUUUACAGGUUUGUAAUGCAGCACCUUUACGGGUCCCUACUAUUUAUUGUGCUUGUAAGUUUUUGUUGCUGUGUUAGCUAUCUGGUAAAAAAAUUCAAUGGAGUCACAAAAUGUUGUUGAUCUGAUACAAAUUUUCAUAUGAAAGCCUAUGCACACCUGUUGAAUUUACUAAAUUUUUUCUCAGGCGAACACCUACAAUGAUAUAUGUUCGUGAAUCUCAUGUGGAGAAAAUGGGUAAAAUUCAGGAUGUGGCUUAUGAAAUUCUGAAUGUUCUUGAGUUCAACAGGUAGGAAGUCUUCCAUCAUACUUUUAUUUAUGAGUUAAUGGUUUCACUAACUUGAAUUGUAUUAUUUGCUGCUAGCACACGGAAACGUCAGUCUGUUGUUUGUCGAUAUCCUGAUGGCAGACUUGUAUUAUACUGCAAGGUAUAUUUUUUAAUUGGCUUUUUGCAUGGAUGAUUGCUGGGUAGUGAUACAUGGCCAGAAAUUUGUUUUUACAGGGUGCUGAUACUGUAAUUUAUGAGAGAUUGGCUGCUGGAAAUGAUGAUCUAAAGAAAAUAACCAGAGGACACUUGGAACAAUUUGGAUCUGCUGGAUUACGAACCCUAUGUCUAGCCUAUAGAGAUUUAAGUCCUGAAAUGUAUGAAAGCUGGAAUGAGAAGUUUAUCCAGGCUAAAUCUUCUCUUAGAGAUCGUGAAAAGAAGUUGGAUGAGGUAUAUUCACAUAUUGAUUAUUGUGAUUUAUUGAUUUUUCCAAUUCUGUAAUAAUGCAUUGGGUAGAGCAUUCGGUGGUUCUGAACCAAACCAAAAUUGAAAAACAGAAAAACUGGUUUAAAUAAAAACAUCAACUGAAAUCGAACCAAACUACUAUAGUAACCGAAUCUCGUUAAAAUCGCCGAUGCAUGGAAGGAAGCACUCUCUAGAGUCUGCAACCGAGUCCAGAUCUGCGCUUAGCAAUAACAUGCAAAGAACUGAAUAAGUACUCUAUUUGCCAUAUUGCAAGCCAACCAUUGCAGACACAGCCCAACAAUCAAUUGCCUUGCUGCCUUCUGGCCCUCCUCGCCAGACCGUGAAGGAAGGUGGUCUCCAUUAUGGGUAUGGAACAAAGCCUCUAGCAUAUUUAGAUCUGUCAUUUGUUUGAUAUGGGUGUGCGAAGAAGAAGAAGAAGAGGUGGAGGAGGUGAUGAUGAUGGAGAGGAUUGCAGUUCUUCAUGUAGAUUGUAGAUGGGAGUUAGGAAACUUAUAUGAGAAGAAUAAAAGAGGGAGAUUUUCUUAUGAAUUCGGAACUUUUCAAGUAAUAAGAGGAUGAAAGGAAUUAGGAAACGAUGUAGUAUAUAAGAAAUAUCAGUUUAGUUUUUCUUCAGUUUUUCAUAGGAAAAUUAAACCGAACUGUAUAACCAAAAAUAAUUAAAACAAUAAACCAAAUUGCACUGAUUGAGCUAAAAACCGAACCAGUUCAGUUCAGUUCAGUUUUUGGGUUUUAAUGGAAUAUUUCUCAGCCUAAUAAUGCAUGUAGUAAAAAGUUGAUUGAUUCUUAAUUAAGGCUUUUAGUUGAACUCUAUUUUUUAGCUGUUGCUUAUGUAGAAGCAUGUCCAUUGCUAUUUGCGAAAGGUUUCACGUUCUGUCACUGAAUUUCGUGAAAUUAGUUUUUUGACCAUAAGCAAAUUUUAUUUAUUCUUUCAUGUGAAUUUUUUCAAUGUCAUAUUUACUGGUUUUAUGUUUAUUGUUUGAAUCUAGCUAAUCAAGUCGCAGUUUAGGAUACUGGGCUCUAGUGCAGUUGGUCAUUUCUAUAGUGAUAUCCUUGUAAAAUGUUUGAGCUAUCAUCUCUAUAUGUUAACAAGUGUGAAGUAUGUAAAUGAUUGCAGAAUGCUAGGAUCCCAAUGAUUUAUGUUUUUCAGAAUAUAUGAUUUUCCCAUAAUUAAGAAUAUUUAAAUGUGCUUUAAUUUUUAUUAGGAUGCAAGUCAUCGUAUCCAGAAACAUUCUGAACUUGUGCAGGUAGCAGAACUAAUAGAAACGGAACUUAUUUUUAUUGGUAGCACUGCUAUAGAAGACAAGCUCCAAGAAGGGGUUCCAGGUUGCAUUGAGACUCUUUCUAGAGCUGGAAUAAAGAUUUGGGUGUUAACAGGGGACAAGAUUGAAACAGCAAUUAAUAUAGCUUAUGGUGAGUCUUUAUUCAAUGUAACCGAGAAGUUCCGUGCCCCCUGCUGUCCCUUUUAUGAGACUUAUGUUGUUGUUAUUGUUGUUAUUAUUUUCAUCAUUGUCUGGAAUCUUCUCUCUGACCAUUAUUUGCUGCAGCUUGCAACUUAGUUAACAAUGAGAUGAAACAAUUCAUUAUCAGUUCAGAAACUGAUGCAAUCAGAGAAGUUGAAGACAGGGUAAACUGCAUGUCAUUUAGAAUCUACCACAUGUUAUCUGAAAAUAUUUAUCAAUAAAUUCAAUUCUAUUGCCAGGGCGACCAAGUGGAAAUUGCCCGUUUUAUCAAGGAAGAAGUCAAAAAAGAACUGACGGGGUGCCUUGAGGAAGCCUGCCACUGUUUGAACAUGGUAUCUGGACCAAAAUUGGCGCUUGUUAUAGAUGGAAAGUGUCUGAUGUAUGCCUUGGACCCAAGUUUACGUGCAAUGUUGUUGAAUUUGAGCUUGAAUUGUAGUUCAGUUGUUUGCUGCCGGGUUUCUCCUUUACAGAAGGCGCAGGUAAUUUUGUCAUGGAGAAUUUAUUUAUUUGACCCGUGAGCAUAGCAUAAGAUGGAAAAGUAAUUUCUGUAUAUGCUUGUUGAAUUUCUAGGAUCAUAAAGUACAAUAUAAAAAAAAUCCCGUGAUCAUAUUUGUAAAGACAAGAAGAGAAGUUUUUUUCAUUAUUCUUUCUACAUGCUUCGUUUGUUUGGAGGGGAAGAAAUAUGUAAAACAAAUCUUUCUUUAUGCUGUAAAGACCUAAAUUGAGCAGGAGGAAAAGGUUUCAUUUACUUCAACUGUUAAGGCUGGGCUAAGUUGAGUUGAGGUGUUAAAUGAGGGAUAUUUUUUUUCCCAAGGGCCAAUACUUUUUUAAUGUUCAAGUUGUGUCAGAUUUUGUAGAGUCUCUAUAAUGUAUUUGAUUUUCUUGUUCUGUAUAUUUUAUGCACUCUGUUCAUGAUCCUUACUUAUUUUUCAUCAGUCAUUAAAUAGACAAAAGAUCAUAAAUCAUAAGGCGUGUUAAGCUUAUUGGGAUAGUGAACAACACUUCAUUGUGCUAUUGUUUGACUUUGAUUCCUUCUGUAUUUUCCCUGUGUUUUCUGUUCUUCGAUAUGAAUCAAGUACUAAUAUUUUUGUUGAUUAAACGGAAAGAUAGUAUGUUGAAGUCCAUGCUCUUAUGGAAAAUAACGAUGGAUGUGACUGGCUUAUAUAUUAGUCCAAGGUUUAGUUCUGAUUUCCAUAUGUUUUAACUUCUAAAAUGCUGUUAAAUUCUUCAGUUGCAGAAUGCCAUUCCUGAGCCUAUUUUUGUUUUGUUUAUAAAUUCAAGAGGUACAUUCAGAAAUGCAUCCAUUGAAAUAGCAGAACUACUUCAGAUUGCAAAUUUGACUGAGAAUAUUAAGUCUAUUUGCAGGUGACUAGUCUGGUCAAGAAAGGUGCACAUAAAAUAACACUUAGCAUUGGUGAUGGGGCUAAUGAUGUUAGUAUGAUUCAAGCCGCUCAUAUUGGUGUUGGAAUAAGCGGGUUGGAAGGGAUGCAAGCAGUCAUGGCUAGUGAUUUUGCUAUUGCUCAGUUUCGCUAUCUUGCUGAUUUACUGCUUGUGCAUGGGCGGUGGUCAUAUCUUAGAAUAUGCAAGGUUUGAAUUUUGGGCACCUUGGAACGUUUUCUGUGGGUAUUUAUUUGGGUGAUGGCAUUCAUGGCAGUUCUUUAUUGCAGGUUAUCACAUAUUUCUUUUACAAGAAUCUUACAUUUACUCUAACUCAAUUUUGGUUCACCUUUCAUACUGGCUUUUCUGGUCAAAGAUUCUAUGAUGAUUGGUUCCAGUCACUGUAUAAUGUCAUAUUUACAGCACUUCCAGUGAUCAUUGUUGGGCUUUUUGACAAGGUGCUAUAUCCCUUCCAACGCUAUUUGACCAUAAUAUUUUACAAAGCUAUUAAGCAUACUCAUCUAAUUUUGUUUCAGACAUCUAGCUGGUAUACCAUUUGCUAUUGCAUGCUCUACUUUUCUUAAAAGUGAAUGAAAUAUGACACUUUCUUGUGCCAGGAUGUCAGUGCUUCCCUUUCGAAGAAGUACCCUGAACUGUACAAAGAGGGAAUAAGAAAUGUAUUUUUCAAGUGGAGAGUUGUGGGAACAUGGGCUUGUUUUUCUGUAUACCAGUCUCUGAUCUUCUAUCAUUUUGUGACUAUUUCAAGUGCUGGUGGUCAAAAUUCAUCUGGCAGGAUAUUUGGACUCUGGGAUAUCAGCACAAUGGCCUUCACUUGUGUUGUUAUCACAGUAAACUUGCGUCUCCUUAUGAUCUGUAAUUCAAUUACAAGGUGGCAUUAUAUCAGUGUUGGAGGAAGCAUAUUAGCAUGGUUUAUUUUCAUUUUUGUAUAUUCAAUUUUUCGGGUAGGUCUCUCUUUCUCCCUCUCUUCUUUUUCUUUUUGGGAGAUUAGUCCUAUUGAAUUAUCUUCCUGCUAAUUUGCCUUUUGUUUACAUUCGCUGCAGGAGAAUGUACUUUUCGUCAUAUAUGUGUUAAUGGGUACAUUCUACUUUUACAUCACUCUACUUUUGGUUCCGAUUGUUGCACUUCUUGGAGACUUCAUUUAUCAAGGGUAAGGUUCAGAAAAGCUACCUUGAAUAACUUCUUAGCGUGUCUAUUUUGGCUGUUCAAUGAAAAAGGAGAAUUGGGAAUUUUUCUGAUAGGGGAUCAGAGCAGUUUUCCUUGGAGAUAGAAAAUUCGCCCACCAGGUUUUAUCAAUUUGCAAAUUCUUCUUAAAUUAAUUAAAAGAAUGAAAUUGGCUAAUAUGAUGACAAUACUAGGUAGUAUAGAUAUCAUUAUGAGAGAAGUUAAUCGUUGAAAUGAUAAUUGAUACAACAAAAGUACAAGCUAUCAAUGAUAACGGAUAGUUGAUAAGUUAACCGAGAUUUUUAAUAUAAUUGAUAAAAGCAAAUCCUCACUCACUCAAAAUAAUAUACGCAAAAAGCACGAAGAAGAAUUCUAAAAAUUUUAAUUCAAAAAUCUCUUUUAUGAGUAUUUUUUAUCCUUACUAUGUAAGGAGAAAAAUAAAACACAAACAUUUUUCUUAGGUUUGACUGAACCACAAACAAAAUUCAAGCCCAAUUACACGCUAAAAUAACACAUCAUUUAUAUUCCUUAUUCAUAUUUCUUAUGGGUGGUGUAUUAAUUGCAUGAUACACUUAAUGAUAUCAGCUAUAUAAGUGUGGAGUGGGACCGCUUUUAAAACAUUUAUGAACAACUAGUUGUGUGCAUGACCUAUUAGCUCAAAUAGCACCAAAACAAAAUAUCGUUGACAACAGGAUCUGUGGUUUGUUAUGAGAUUGAUGGGAUAUUAAUAUACAAAAAAGAUUUUUGGUUCAUAGAAACAAAAGUUUUAUCAACUACUUUGUAUAUUAAAUCUCAUUAAUCUAAAUCUGGUUCAUAGUCUAAAAGAUACCAGAUUCGAAAUAUAUACACUAAAUUUUUAAAUCCAGCAACGAAAAGUUUUUUGAAAUACGUGGAGAUUGUUGUAAAAUGAAUUUAGAUUUCAAAAGAUUAACUUCUUAGCAUGCCUAUCUUGGGUGUCCUCUUUAUUUUGUGUUGCAGUCUGGCUUGCCUGUGAUGUGUAGCUGCUGAAGAUACAAACUUUUUUGGGAUGCUUUUAUCCAGCUUUUAUGCCAAAUAACCAUUUAUAGUUAGAUGAUAUAUGCUUGUAAUUUUCGAGCACCUCUGAAAACAUUUCUGAUGCUUAACUUGUAUGAUGGACUUAAAGUCAACGGUAUGGUCUGGAUGCAGGGUUCAAAGAUGGUUCUUCCCCUACAACUAUCAAAUUGUUCAGGAAAUUCACAGGCAUGAACCUGAUGACAAUAGUAGGGCAGGGUUGCUGGAGAUAGAGAACAAGCUUACACCACAAGAGGAAAGGAGUUACGCCAUGGCUCAACUCCCGCGAGAGCUAUCUAAACACACUGGCUUUGCUUUUGAUUCACCUGGGUACGAGUCAUUUUUUGCUGCGCAGCUAGGUAUAUAUGCACCUCAGAAGGCGUGGGAUGUUGCACGGAGAGCCAGCGUGCGUUCACCUAGGACACUCAAGAAGAAUUAAAUUGGACAAAUAUUAUUGUACAAAGUAAUUUUUUUGUUUUACUCCCACAUCUUUAGAAAAAGUUGUAAAUUUAGAUGUGCAUUAGGUUAGUUUUUUGAUACACUUUCCAUCAUUUAAUAUGUUCCAGGAAAGGAAUUCUAGCAAUACUUAGGUUGUCAUGGAUGUAUAGCUAAUUGGUAUAAGUUGAGAAUUUUGGUUUUGAAUUUUGAUUAUGCUUUCAAUUAUUGCAUGUUUAUGGAAGACCUUUUCAUGAAUAAAUAAGAUAGAAUGCUUCUUUUUAUUAUAAUGAUUAUCUAGAAUCUUGAUUCGGUUACGGAACUUUCUUCUGAAAGUAACGAGACGGGUUUUGACUGAUGUUGGCGAUGAAAGCAAGCAACACCUCUGGUAUCUUUAAUUAAUGCAAAUGCCUUGAUUUAAUUUUGAGUAAAAUUUGUACAAAAGUUUAAAUAGAAGUUUCACCAACCCAAGAUUCAAUUUUAAAUCAAAACUUCGUAUUUUCCAUUGUAUAUGGGGAAAUAACAUUAUAUAUUUAUAAAAGGUUAGUUAAAAUUUUUUUUUUUUUUAUAUUUAGUUCAGUAUUUAAAAUGAAAUUAACUAUUAGUUCAUUAACCGUUUUUAUAUUUUAUAUACCAAAAUAAAAAAUAAAAAAAAUUGAGAGAUUAAAAUUUAACUCAUUUAAUUUGAUAUAAUAUUAUUUUAAAUAUUGCAUUAUACACUCAUUAAACAUAUAUAUUAUUUUAAUAUGAUUUUUAAUUCAAAAUUAAUUAUAAUUAAAUGAAAUUAACUAUUACCUUGUAAUAUGUAACCCUCUUUUAACCUAAACUUUAGGUGAUUUUCUACUUUGGGUGCAAAGAGAGCCCCGCUACACAGCUGCUAGUUAACUGCUAAGCAACCCCAUUAAUUAGAUUUUGUAUGGAGGAGGAAUCUUCAGUUUGAUGUUAUGUAAAACUAUGGAAUAAAAAGAAGAAGCAGCAUCAUCUUGAGUAAAUUAAUUAAUUGUUAGUGUAGAAUCAAUGUCAUUAACUAAGAUUUGUGAGCCUGCAACAUGUUAUUCUUUUUUAGCAGUGUAUCAUGUCAACCUCUUAUUGGCUCUUAAGAGGAUGAAUAGCCAUAGGAUAUAAAUUAUUCAUGAGGAUUAUAUACUUUGGCCUCUGCCCUUUUCUACUCUGUAUUAUAAUCAUUUUUCUAAAUUUGAAACAUUAAUUUCACUAAUACAGAGCCCCAAACAUUAAUUUGACUAAUAUAUUUGGUUGUUCAGACUUUAAAUAUCUUAGUUUAUACAGAUUAAAGGUAUCUAAGAUGAGAUGAACCCAACAAUUUGAAUUUGAUUCUAAUUAUAAAUGCUGAAGGAUGGAGAGUAAAAUUAUAAGAGAGAUUGGUUCAUGAAAGAUCUAAGUUUAUCUUUAUAAGCUUAUGACGCAGUAGGGUUUUCAAUCCCAGCACAGCUAUAUUUAUUGCCAGAUUAAGGUCAAUGGAAGCUUUUUCAACCAAAUCCUUGAAGAUAUGGAAAAUCUAAUGCCAAUCCUAAUUACACUGUGCUGUGAUGGUUGCCUACUGUACAAAUCAUAAUGGAAUUGGAUUGAAUAUAAUGAAUUUGAUUCCAGCUAAACUUCCUGAGAAAGCUUCAAAUCAAAGAAGGCCAUAUUUAUGGUGGUAAUUAAGAUCUCACACCUUAUAUAUAAAUUGAUUUAAGAUGUCCUAGUAUAUAUACUUCAUUCAAUUGCAUAUUGAUAACUCAUAAAAUAUGUCUUACCUUAAAUCGUGACCCGUAUAUAUAGUUUUAAGUGAUUUAACUAAAGAAGGGAUAAUUAAUUAUUAAGAGGGACAAGUCUUUCCAUCCUUCCAACAUUCAAAAUUUAAGAAGAGUCUGAAUAGGAUGAUCAUUAAAAUAUUCAGAAUAUUUUCUCAAAUGAUUAUACGAGACUUUAAAUGUACAUGCUAUGUCAACCAUGAUAAAAUUUGUGUCAAGAAUAAUAUGAUUUUAACCGAUUCAAUAUUAAAUGAGUCAAUAACUCAUGUUAUUAUUUAUUUUGUGGGAUACAUUACAACCAUAUAUCUUUCAUUCUCGAAAAAAGGAAUUUCACUUUAUCUUCUCCGAUCUCUUUAACUCUUUCUGUAAUUUCAUUAAAAUUUUGAAAGAAUUACUCAAUUCUAUUACUACUCUUAUUUACUAAACCAAUUUUAUUUACUACUGUAAACCUUUAACCAUCUCAUUUACUAAGCCAGCUUUAUUUACUUCCAUAAACCCUUAACUAUAUCCAUAUGCUGCCAUCCUAUCGACUCUGAAUCUCAUAAACCAAACAUAUUGUCUAUGUAGGUUUCAUAUUCAUGGAAAAAUCUAGAAACAACAACAAUAGCAUAUUUAAAUAAGUAUUUUAGCGUAAAGGAAAGGCCAUGCAAUCUUGAGUGUGAGGAAAUGCAUGGAUUGGAAACAGCACGUAAUGCACUUUACCAAUUAAGAGAGAAGAUAGAUCGAUCUCUGCGUGCACCUUGAACAAGAAGAAAGCAGGUAGCAUUGGAUUCCACCAGCAUACAACUUUCUUUUCUAUGUUUAUACAGUUGGAUUCAUGAUCAUACAGGUAUGGAUAAGACAAAAUGUGCCAUAUUCCCUUUAUCAUAAAUUAUGUGUACUGUCUAAUUCUCUAUUCUUUUACCAGAUUUAAUAUAUUCUCUAAUAUAUCCUAAUUCCUUCUUUUCUUAAUUUAUUUAUUUUUUCUUAAAAAAUAUAUUUGAUAGUUAAGAAUUUUUUUUAUAUAUAAGUUCCACAUGUUGAUAUCACUUUUUACGGCAAAUUAUCUUAAUUAGCCUAUAUGACACGUAAUUUCUUCAGGCAUACACAACGCAAAUUGUAAUAAGCUCCCACUCCUCAAAAUGCCAACUAAGACUGAUUCUAGUGAAUAUGGCAUAUAUACGUGGACCAUGCCCGCCGGAAUUGUAAAGUAAAUAUUUGCUAUAUGACCUAAAUACCAUGUAUAUAUAUCUCUCAAUAUGAAAUCUCAAUGAAUUAAUUUAAUCUCUUGAAAAUGUGCUAAUUAGCUGAUUUUUUUUUCUAUCAAAGAUAACAUUCAUAGCAUUAAAAAUGGGCUUAACCCAAGGUACCUAAACUAUAGGGUUCCGAAUUGUCUCCUCCUCUAUCUAUCUUUCACCUAAUUGUACGUAAGCAAUUACAGGGAUUUACUCUUUAGUUAUGGUAUCGCUGCAUGAGAAUACACACAUCAAAGCAAAAAAGAAAGAGCGUAUUGGGACCUUAUUAUCAGUAUAAAGCUAAGGAAGGGUUCCCUAUACUUGACAUGUUAGAAGCCAGCUUAGUUACCCUCCCUCUCUCUCUCUCUCUCUCUCUCUCUCUUUCUCUUGCGUUCGAGCAAGUGCAACAGUAUCGCUCCAACCUAUAAAGAAUACCAACCUGCCCUAAUAUCCAUGAACUAAAUAAAAAAUUCUCAUCCCUUCUUUCAUAUCCGUCUAAGAAAAUCCUGGUCUGAUUUACUCUUUUUCUGUAUAUAACUAUAUAUAGAGCUCUGUACGUUGUAGCCAUAAGUAUUAUAAGGCAUCUUCCUCUAUUAUUAAAAAAAGAAAAUAUAUGGAUAAAGGGCAAAGCACAGUUAUUAGUGGGGGCUGUGUGCUGUUUAAGGUUUUGUUUGGGGCAAUUACAACGUUGGGUUUUGUCUGCCUUCUGUUAGUUGCAAUACUGCAAACUGAAGCAACCAAAAGCACAACAACCGUUCAAGCCGCUGCAAGUCUAAAACACGAAGCAGAUAUAGGAAGAGAGAGGCUUCUUUAUGACCCAGAUUUGGAUCUCAACUACAUGAUCAGCAAGAGAAAAAUUCCUAAUGGUCCUGAUCCCAUUCAUAACAGGUAAGUAAUCAAAAGCUUGCUGUUUUAUAUCUUUUUGUAUUCAUGCAUGUGUUUUGAAAUUUUGGUUAGGGGUAAUUAUUAGGGGAAGAAAAAAAGGAAAAUAAAGAAAGCCACCUCUUAUACGUUCUAUGAGGACGAUUGCUUCAAGGGUGAGCUUUAAAUCGUAAAGGCAAUGUUCUUGCAACACAAGGAAAAACAAAAACUCAGAAUAACUGAUAUGCCUUUUUUACANNNNNNNNNNNNNNNNNNNNNNNNNNNNNNNNNNNNNNNNNNNNUAAAGAAAGGGUAAUAAAUAUAUUAACAGAUUUGAAGAAAAAUAAUUUAUUAACAGAUUUGAAAUUUAUUAAUAAAUAUAUUAAAUUACCGAUGAAUUGCAAUUCGUUAAUAAAUCAAUUGAAAAUCUAAAUAAUUUACCCAUAAGCCUAUGUGCCUUAUUUGGUACCUGAAACUGUUUAUCCUUAUUUUUUUAAAAGGAAGUACUGGCUUUAUAUGUAAUUAACAACUUCAGUUUUUCUUUUCUUUUUCACGAUAAUACAAUUUUUAAAAUUUCAAUCCUUAAAAUAGCACUCUAUAUGCUCAAUUAGUUCAAUAAUGUUGCUUUUUCUUUGUUUCUUUAGGAGAGCAGGGAACUCGAAACGACCUCCUGGCCGAGUUUAGUGAAGGGAUUGAAAAGGUUGAAGAGCAGAAGCACAAAAGAAGAGACAAGAAUCUGCCAUCUUGUAUGUAUUCUUUAGAAAUGGGAAUGUAAAUGCUCGUAAAUUUAUUUGAGAAUCCCAGCAUGCAACUCUUUUUUACUUGCACAAAACUGUAACCUAUAGGGUUGAUGUUGGAGUUAGUGUAAAGCUAAGGAAAUAGCUCUUAUCAAGCACAAACCCUCAAAAGAGAGAUUAGACUAAAGAGAAAGCUAGAGUGAGUAUAUAUGAAGAACAUGCAUAUGUGUAUAGGGAAAUUAAAGAAAUGUACGAAAGCCUUAUCUGUCAGGCAAUCAUAUUUGUGUAUGUUUUUGUUGUUUCAUGUUUGUAAUUUUCAUAUUUAAAUGAAAAGAGAGGAAGCAGCAGCCAGCCAGCCACCAUGAGUUCCAAAACUAAAAGUGAAUCCACCAAUUAAAGCUAAUAUUCGCAUCUAACGUUAAUUUUUUUUCACUGGAUACCUCUUUUUUUAAGGACUGUUUUGGUCUUUGGUCAUUCAAGCUUUAGUUAAAAACUGCAUGAGAUUCUUCUUAGUCUGGUGGCAAUCCAAAGUAAUAAAGGGACCAAAGACAACUUAUGGGUCUGCAUUCUGCUCUGUUUUCUUUUCAAAGUGACAAAAAUCAAAAGAUAAGCUCUCUCCUACGCCAAAGCUUCUCCCUUUUUCUUUAUUUAUUUUUAUCUACAUGUCCUUUAUCUUUUUCACUUCUCUGAGUUUUGCUUUGCGAAGACUGGGUCUAAACUCUUAAAGUUUGGCUGAUUCAGAUUGGGCCAAUUACCAAAAAGGGUAAAAGAUUUUGUUUUUUAGAAAGGAAAAAUUCCAUGGCAGCAUAUAUAUUACGUUAUCUGUGGUUGGCCUACAAACGCAAUCCAGGUCCAUAGAAAAACCAUUAAAACGGCCAGUUGAGGAGCAGUUACUUUGUUUCAUGGUCCAUUGCACCAAGCCAGAGGCGGAGCUUUUAGGAGAUGGUGCCUUUCAUGGCCCAUUGCACCAAGUCAGCUCGCAAACAAAAUUUUAAGCAACAACCGUCCAAUUAGCACACUAGUUAAAUUCUUAACUAGACUCUAUUUACGAUAAAUUUAAAACAAAUUUCUUUUAAAAAAUUUACUUAUUUAUAUUUUAAUUUAUAAUGAAUUGAGUCUAGAAAAUAUUUUAUAUAUACAAAUAUAUAUGUGUUUUUAAAUAUUAAAUUAAUAUUUCUUUUUAAAAAUCUAUACCAAAAGUGAAUUGAAUUUAAGCUAUACAAAUAAGCACUUGAUUUUAAUUUCUACUAAAAAUAAAAUUUAGAUUGUGUAUAUAUAUAUUUUUUCGUCAAAGAGAUAUAAAAUUUCAUUGAGAAAAGGCACAAGGUCUAAAUACAGAAAAUUUCAACAAAAAACAUAUCAAAAAUUAAAGGACUCAAAAAAAUAUAUAUAAAAAAAAUAAAUUAUAGAAUUCUAGAUUUGAAAACUCCAAAAAAACUCAAUAUCCAACAUGAUAAAAAGCAAGCAAUGCCAUUUCCAAUCUGAAUGGCACUACCGCCGGCAAGAGUAAAGAAUAAGAAACUCAACAAAAACAAAGAAUGUAGAAAUUAGAGAAAAAUUCUAAAACACAACAGAAAAUAUAAAAUCAUGGAAGUUAAAAGAGGUAAAGAAUAGAAAUAUGCAAUGAAUUAUCUGGAACAACAAUGUCAGAUGCAUAUAAAAAAUAAGUUACCUUCAUCGAUUCAUUUAAGUCCACCAUCUCUAAAAAAUAAAAAAAUUUUGAAUUCUAAAAAAGAGUCAAAGAAUAGAAAAUAAUCACUUUAAAAUGACCUCACUGAAAAAGAAAAAACGUUCAAAGCGAAAUCGCAACUUUUAAAUCAUUUAGAUCUUGAAUCAAAUUUAAAAAAUAAACAAAUAAUAGCCACAUGAAUUGAUAAACCAAAAUAAAACUCUCGAAUAAGGGAGGGAGAAGGACCACUUCCACUCAGAAAGGGAAUGAGCAACUGCGCUACACCGACACAUAAGAGGCCUUCUACCUCAUAAACUCUCUCACAAGCGAGAGAAAAACACCUCUCCACAGCAGUAGAGCGAUUAUGUGCUUUGAAUCAUGUAUAUACAUAUAGUAAAACGGGGCAUUCUCAUAAUUGGUCCGCCACUGUCUGACGAAAUAUAUUUGAAAAAUUAGUAAUUUUGACUAAACUGACAAAAGUCGUCAAGUCAAGAACGUAAGCCUACAAAUGCAAUCGGCCACUAACUCCCAAGUCGCAAACCACCGGAGAAGUAAAUUACAAAAUGGUUCUUCAAGUUUCCAUAUUAACAAUAUCAUCUGUAUUCAUUAGUUUAUUACAUUUUUCCCUUCUAUUUUUCAUUUUCUUUAUUUAAAAAGCAUUUUUCACGCUUUUUGGUUGCUACUGAUCCAAGUUAUCUCAGCGCCUUUUUUUUCUUAUUUAAAAAAAUAUAUUAUAAAAAAAAUAUAUUGCCACGUGAUGAUUUUUCUUUUUUUAAAUAAAAAUUGAAAAUCGAAAGAGUAAAAUCUGAAUACUCUGCACUUACGAUCAAGUUAAAUCUGUAAGCGCGUGAUUUAAUAACUUUUAAAUACAAUUCUGUAAAUUAAUUUAUAAUAAAAAUUAUUACGUGAUUUUAUAUUAUAAAUCAAUUAUUUUUUUAAUAUUAUUAUAAAUAUUAAUGUGGUAUUUCAAAUUUAAUUAAAAAUAAUUUUAAUUAAUAUAAAAUAUAUUUUAAUGGUUAAGUUUUAGUGAAAUAUAUAAUUAAGUUCUUAUAUUUCUAACUUUAAUUAUAAGAUCAUGUUUAUUAAUAAAAUAAUUCUUUUAGUUAAUAUAAUUUAUCACUAUAUUUUUAUAAAUGAAUUCUUAAAUGUAUUCACACUUUUUACUUUACCUCUUAUAUUUAUUAAAUUUUAAUAAAUUAUAUUUAAUAAUAAAUAAAGAUUAAAUUAGAAAACUUGACAUAAUAUGCGUACAAAUUUAUGUCUCCUUUUUUUUUCUCAUCUAACUUUCCUUCUUUUUUUUUUAUUUAGUAAGAGAAAAAGAAAAUAACAUACUUUUUAUUUAAUUUUUAUUUUAUUAUUUUCACAUGAAAAGUAUUGAAAUUUAAUAAAUAAAAAGAUUAAUAUAUAAAUACAUAGUAAUUUACACUUCAUCCGCCUAUAAUUUUUAUUUAUUUUUCUAUUUUUAAUUAUUUAUCCUAAAAUUUUAUCUAUUUUUUUAUAUUAUAAUUAACAUAUAAAUUGAUCUUUAAUUUUAUUUUAUUUUCAAUAAAAUUUCUCAUUAAUUUUUUUAGACAAUAAUUCAAACUAUCAACUGACAUUUUAUCAUUUUGCUCUUUAAUAAAUCUAUAAUUAUUUAUAUUUAUCGUGUUAUGAUUUAAAUUGUUAUCGCUAUAAGAAAUUAUAAAAGUUUAAUUAAAAAUUAUUUAUUUUAAUUUAUAUAUUUAUGAACUAAAAUUUGAAUAACUGUUGUUUUAUCAUACAAUCUAAACUUUCAUGAAGUUUUUCAAAUUUUUUUUUUGUUUUUUCCUUUUAUUUUACUGCAAACGAAAAAAAAAAUUCUAUAACUUUCCUGCCAUUUUGCUUUAUGUUAUCUAUUUUAUUUUAAUUAAAAAUAAUUUUACGCAAUAUAAUAUAUAAUCUAUAUAUUUAAAUUUUAUAUUUAUUUUUAAUUAUUAAAUUACAUAAAAUUAGAUAUAAUAAUUCGAUUUCAAUAUUUUUCAAAUAAUAUAAUUUAUAUCGUAAAAUGAUAUAAUAUUUGAAAUUAUGAUAUUGUAAUAUUUGUUUUCACUAGACAUUUUAUUAUAUUUUUAACAAUUAAAAAUAAGCAUAGUUUAUCAAUUGAUAAAAUGAAGUUCAAUUUCUUGAAUUCUCAAAUUUUAGAGUGGGAGAUCCAUUCCUAAUAUACAGAAAAAGAAAAUAAAUAAAAGAUUUAGAAAAAAUAAGAAAAAAAAAUCAUAUAAGGCUUUAUUUAUUUUAUGAAAACUAAAAAAUAUUUUCCACUUCUUUUGAUACUUAAAACUUUCAGAAAAAUUAGUUGAUAAAAAAUAUUUUUAUAGUCAAUUAAAAAAUUAAUUUAUUUUUUUAAAAUAAUUUUAUUUAUUUUAAAAUGUUUGUUAAUAUAUUUAUAUAUAAAUUUAUUAAUAUAUUUAUUUUUUAAAUUAAAAUAUUAAAAUUAGAUUAUUUUAUUAAAAAAUGUUUUAGAUAAAAAAAUAUCUCUUAAAAAAAUAUUUUUAAAAUAAAAACUAUUUCAAAAAUAAACAAACGUUUAAAGUUUAAAGUCUAAUUUCUUUUAACAGAAUAAAACUCUAAAUUUUAUAUUUAAACUUAAAUAAAGUCAUGAGUUAAGAUUUAAUAAUAAAAAUAUUAUUUUCUACAAUUUUUUAAUAAUAUAAUUGAUUACUAUUUUCCUUCUUAAUUUUUCUUAUUUUUAUUUUAUUUUAUAUUUUAAUUAAAAUGAUAAAUAAUUUUAGUUUCAAAAACUAUAAUACAUAAUUUAAAAUUAUAUUUUAUUAGUUUAAUACUUACUUUAAUAUAAAGUAAAGGGUAUGGUGUUAUUUAAUUAAAUAGGCAAAUUACUUUAUUUAUACUUGUGAAAAUUUUGAGGAUUUAUUUAGAAUUUUUAUUAAAACACAUGGAAGUAGAAAGACAAAAUGUUUAAAUAAGCUCGUGGACAUUUUAUAAACGUAAUUUGAUUUUUUACCAAAUAAAAUUCUAAAAUUAACUUUUUUAAAGUAGAACCUAAUAAAAUAUCAUCUUACACGCUUUUAUUUGUUAUUGGUUAGAAGUUAUUUUUGUUCAAAAUAAUUUAUUAAUUUUAGAAUAAAAAAAGGAAAAAGUUAUAUAUAUUAUUUUAAUUUUACCAUUAUAUUUAUUGAAUUCAGAAAUUAUUUUUAUGAUUUACUACAAUAUAUCUUAUUAUUUCUUCACCUUUCUAAUAGUUGAUUAAUUAAGAGAGAAUAAUUGAUAUUUGAGUAGACAAAAUAAAGGACUAUUUAGUCAAAUUGAAGAAUAUUCUAUUAUAAUGUACAUGAUUUAAUUGUUUUUUCUGAACAUUAUUUUUUUUUUUAAAUAGGGGUGGAGAGUAGAAUCUUAGAUCUCUCAAAUCUACUAGGAUGCACUUCCCACCUGACUAAGUCUUGAAAUACUUUUCUGAACGUUAUUAAAGAUAUUAAAUGGUAAAGUAUUAUUUUUUAUGCAUUAUUUACCCUAAUAUUUAAGAAUUUAAACAUUAGUUAAAAACAUUAAAUGAGAUUAUUUAAAAGAUAAUUUAGUUCAAUUAAAAAUUUUACUAAUUAUUUUUUAAUUAUUGUUAAAAAUAUUAACUAAUAAAGAGAGAUUAAUUUGAAUAUUAAGAUAUUAUUUUUAUACUUUAUAAUGUUAAAAGUAUUUAUUUUUCUUAUAAUUCAAUUUAGAUUUAAAUGCAAGAUUUAAUAUUUUAUUUAGUUUUUUUUUUUAAAAUAUUUUAUUUGAAAUUUGAUAAAAAAAAAGGGGGGGGCUUAUUUGUAAUUUACAGGAAUUAAAAGAAAAGCCGUUAGGCUGACACGUGUGGGCAGCUUUACGGUUUUGACUCGGCGGAGCCACCAGAGAGAGAGAGAGAGAGCGCAAACCCUCGCUCCUUACAAGGAAAAUCCAAUAAUAAUUUUGAAAAAAGAAAAUCCCAAUUUCAUGUGCAUUUGAGUUUCAUUUGGAGGCCUCAGCCUGCGUCCCUCUGGAGAGACCUUCUAUUUUAAUUUUUCUCAUUUUACGGAUAUUAAUAUUAAUUAUUUAUUUAUAUUUUAAGUCUCUCCUUUUUNNNNNNNNNUUCCAAUUAUCAUUGAUACAACCCAACAAAAACACCCCAAGCCAAAAUUAAAAUUUUCUUAUUUCUCAUAGAAGAGAAGCGAGGAAGAGAGAGAGAGGGGAAUGAUAAAGGGAUCUCCGAAAACGAUUCGUUUUUCAAACCCAAACGUUGCCGCAGAUCGUUAGUCGUGGAAUCUUUCACGUGUAUAAUCUGAUUUGAUUCGGAUUGAGAAUAUUGUUGUUGACCGUACGAUCUUUUGUGUACCGGAGAGGAUGCCGUCGCACGGUGAUCUGGACCGUCAGAUCGAGCACCUCAUGGAGUGCAAGCCGUUGCCGGAGACCGAGGUCAAGACGCUUUGUGAUCAAGCCAGGGCGAUUCUUGUCGAGGAAUGGAACGUGCAACCGGUGAAAUGUCCGGUAACCGUUUGCGGCGAUAUUCACGGGCAGUUCUACGAUCUCAUCGAGCUCUUUAGGAUUGGAGGGAAUGCGCCUGAUACCAAUUAUCUCUUCAUGGGCGACUAUGUAGGUCUGUUUUCUAUUCUUUUUUAUAUUUACUUUUUUCGUGUGCUAAAAUUCCGGACCUUGAUUUUGUUUUUGGAUUCUAGAUUCGGUCAUAAUUUUUAUUGGUUUAUUUAUCUAAAUUUGUGUAUUUGUGCUUUUAAUUGUUUUCUUUGAAAUCUGUCAUUUACACGAUGAAUGAGUAGUUGAUUUAUAUUGUUGGAUCCUCACAUGUGAAUGAGGCCCUUUUUUUAAAAAAAUAAUAAUAAUAAUAAUAAUAAUAAUAAUUGGCCCAAUAAAGGGAAUUUUGGGGGAAUUUUACGUAGAUUCUGAAACUAAUGGAGCUAUUGGCACUACCAUUAUUAUUAUCCACCAGAUUUAUUUAUCAGAAAUAAAAUUUUAAUCUUGCCCGUUUCUGAUUUGUGAUGUUCUGAUGAACUGCUAAGGCUCGGGGUGAUGAUGUUUCAGAGAUUGUACUUUUUAUUGGGUCACGCUUUUAAUUGUAUUAGCUGAGUUUUAUUUGUACUUGGAUUACGUCUAUUUGGCAAGCUGCUGUCAAGAAAAACAUCUUAAAUAUAUUAUUAGAGGCUGUUAACAGCAUUAAUGUCAGUGAUGACAACCUCAGAUUAACCAAUUUAAUGGUUAAUCCGUGUUGGACAUGGAUAGUUUGCUAAAUUUCUUGUGAAGUUGACUUUUGUACAAGCAUUUGUAAUCUCCUCAAUUACAUCAAUGCAGAUCGUGGGUACUAUUCGGUCGAGACUGUAACACUCUUAGUGGCCCUGAAAGUUCGAUAUAGAGAUAGAAUUACUAUUCUUAGAGGAAACCACGAGAGCAGGCAGAUCACUCAAGUGUAAGAUUAUGUUUAUCUCCAUUAAAUUAAGUUUUAAAAUGAAUAUGUAUGCUUGUAUAUAUAUAUUUAGUAUUGCAUGUUGACACUAAAAGAUAUGGUGCUUGCAAAGAAAUGUUAUGUUUCUGGCCUUGGUGGGUUUUAUAUGGUCCUGUCUGUCAUUUUGGCCAUCGGAGCCAUCACUGGGUGAUUAAAUUGUAAAUGUGGGUGUAUCAGAAAAUUUACAGUUUAGAAGGGAAUCUUUGCCUCAUAACAUCAUUGGAUUGAAUUAUAAAGCCAAAUUCCACCUAGAAACUUUGUGAAAAGGAAUUUUUUAUUCCCAAGUCACAAGAGGUUUUGCAUCACCGGAUACAGUUAAAAUUAACAAUGUUUGACUAUUUCGUUGGUGGUAAACUGUUGUUGCAAGUCUUGCAACAAUAUAUCUUACCCACUGAUGACAUUGCAGGACCUCUACCCAAACAUUGGGCCCUAAACUAACUGAUGUCAAUAAUUUUGAUUUGAUUCUUAUAUCUUCCUUAGGUAACUGAUUUCAUGUGUAUUUCCAUUUUUAAACUGUCAUCCAUAUGGGUGUGAAACAGCAUGAGUAUUGAACACUGCCAUCCCAGCAUCAGGCAAAUAUUAUGGGCCUAUUUGAUGAUUUUUUUUUUUCGCAAGUUGUAAAGGUUGGAUGCUAUGCUUAAUCACCCAAGGCAGAUUAACGGCACUAUGGUAAUAGCAGGGUGGCAGUGAACAUAUUUGAGUGUUGCUAGAGUUAUCAGUAAGCAAUAGAAGACAAAAAAGGUGGCACUUUAGGCUAUGGAAUUUGGGCGGGUUGAGCCUUUUCAAUUUCACUAAGAAAAAAAAGAAAAAAAAGAAAAAGAGAAUCAAACCUUUUUUUUUUUACAUUAGAUGUCAUGAGAGCUUAUAGCUAAACAAAAUGGGUAAAGUAAAGAAAAAGAUAAUUCAACUCUUAUGACAGUCAUAUUAUAGUAAAACUUGUUUAUUAUUUUUCCGCUAGAGACAAAGAUUUUUUUAUCGUGGGCCUUUCUGUCUCGUGCAUGUGUGACGGUUUAUGUGAAUGUUAACCAUUUCACUUGUAAUUUAUAUGGUAUUUGGUUUUCAUUCUACUUUCAGGUAUGGUUUCUAUGAUGAGUGCUUGAGAAAAUAUGGAAAUGCCAAUGUGUGGAAGUAUUUCACUGACCUUUUCGAUUAUCUACCUCUUACAGCCCUCAUUGAGAGUCAGGUUGAAGUUAUAAACAUUGAUGACUAUUUUGCUUAAUGCCAGUGAAUGACAGCCUUUGAUUGCUAGAAUCUGUCUUGUAGGUCUUCUGUUUGCAUGGUGGACUUUCACCCUCUCUGGAUACAUUAGAUAAUAUCCGAGCUUUGGACCGUAUACAGGAGGUACGAUUAACUGUGUCAUAUGAUUAACUGUCAUCAACCCUUGAACUAGGUUCCUAAGAAGAUAUGCCAAAUGAAUGCAUCUGAACUUGUUGUACUUGCUGAUAGAUUUGAAGACUACGUUAAUGAUGUAUAUUAUGAUUACUCUUGUGACUUACCGGNNNNNNNNNNNNNNNNNNNNNNNNNNNNNNNNAAAAAAAAAAAAAAAAAAGCCCGUAAAAUUUUGGCAUAUUUAGUACAUUUGAUACCAUGUGUGUUAAAAAGGGUAAUUUUUUUAGCUGUUUAUGGAGCAAAGAUAUGUUAACAAAAACAGAUUGAUAAAAAAGUGAGCAUUAAUUUAGUGGUCUUUUCCCCAGAAAUUUGUCCCCUAUAACUACUACUAUUUUUCCAUUGUAUGUAAAAUUGAUGUUGCUAUUCAACAUUUCCUUUUCCCCACUGCAAUGUGUUGGUUAAAACAUCUCCUUUAUUACUUUGCAUGUGAUCACACGACUCAAAUCACUAUUCUACGAUUUUGUAUUUUGCCACCCUCUAGAUUUCUUUAUUACUUUUUAUUGCUCCGAAAAAUAAUCACAUCUUUGUCUUUUUCUCUACACAAGUAGGUUCCACAUGAAGGACCUAUGUGUGAUCUCUUGUGGUCUGAUCCAGAUGAUCGAUGCGGGUGGGGAAUAUCUCCUCGUGGUGCUGGCUAUACAUUUGGACAGGACAUAGCUGCUCAGUUCAACCAUACCAAUGGGCUUACUCUGAUUUCACGAGCUCACCAGCUUGUCAUGGAAGGGUACAAUUGGUGUCAGGUGAAUGAAGCUAGAGAAGUCGUUACUUAAAAAUAUCCUUCUUCCACUCACGAACACAAAUUAUGUUAAAAUAAAUCGUUAUUGAUUAUCAUUUUAAAUUCUCUUUAGGAAAAGAAUGUGGUCACUGUAUUUAGUGCUCCAAACUAUUGCUACCGAUGUGGGAAUAUGGCUGCAAUUCUAGAGAUUGGGGAGAACAUGGACCAGAACUUUCUUCAAUUUGAUCCUGCACCUCGGCAAAUUGAACCUGACACCACGCGCAAGACACCUGAUUAUUUUUUAUAAUUUCCGUAUUUGCUGUUUGUAAUCCCGGUUUGCUGCUGUAUCACUGUAGAUGUGUCUUGAAAAGGAGGAGUUAUUGUUGUUUAAGGUGAGAUUGAUCUAUGACAUCAUUCUUUGUUUGGCGUUUGUCCUGCUGCUGCUUUAUUGAUUUGCUCGAGUAAACCCAUAGGAAAAUCGACAGAAGACACUAAAGACCACAUGUCUUGUAUAUUUUCAGAGAGAAGCAGCAACAUCAUGAUACAUCUUGUUCUGUAAUUUAACAAUUUCAUGGUGGAGAGCUGGUUUUUGGCCGAGCAAAUUGUAUGUUGAACUUCUUUUGCUUCCUCUUUCGUGGGCUUUUGGAUGCCUGACGUGGUAAUUACCGACUAAGACAAAAGUGGCUAAUGCCUAUAUUAGGAUUGAUGAGAACUAAGAAUGCAAGGACUAGAAGUCUGGAAAUUUCUUAUACCACAAAAAUAAACUUGCUCAGUUACAACUCAACUGUUCAUUUCUGAUUUAUUCUCUGCCAGAUGUUUGAUUGCAAUCAUUGUGGUAAAACAACCUCAAAUGAUAUUUAUAAUUUAGUUCUAUAUGAACAUAGCGUUACUUUGGUGAAUGUCUACAUGUCCAGGAGUUAUUAGCAUAACAUAAGGUAAAAUGGUCAAAUAAAAAAUGUUAAAAUUAAAUUUUAUUUUUUUAUGUGAAUUUGUGACUGAAUUAUCAUUAAAAUAUCAUAUAAUUUUUAAAUAAGGUCAAAUUGACAAUCUUUAUGAAAGAUGACUUUAUUUGGCAUUAAUAAGAGUAAAUUUGGAUAGCAACACUAAAUUUGAUAUUUUUUGCACGGUUAAAUUUGACUUUUUCACUUAAAAUAUAAUAUAGUCUAAUAUUUACAUUAAUUUAUAUUUAUAUUCAAAAUUUAAACCUUAAAUAAUAAAAUUAAACAUUUUUAAUUUAUUAAAAUUAUGGUCAAUAAUUAAAUCUGAAAAGUUAACGCAAAUUAUUAAAUUUUUUUAAUAAUAAAUAUAUAAUUCCUUAAUUUUAAUUUUAUAUGAAAAGUGAAUAUAUUUUAUAUAUAUUAUAUAUAUACAACAAAUAAAUAUUUAUUAUAAAAGAAUUUAUAUUACAUAAAAUAUUAUAUUUAAUUCUUAUAUUAAAAUAUUUUAUUAAAUAUUUAUGCUCAAUAUCAUUGCAAACUAUGUGUAUAUUAUAAUAAAAAACUUCAUAUUAAUAAUAUUAAAUAAAAUAAAAUACUAUACUAUAUUUUUGAAUCUAUAAAUUUGUUUUUAUAUUUUAAAUUUCAUUAAUUCCAUGACAUCUAUAUACAAAUGGAAAUAAAAGGUAAAUAAUAAAAUUACCAAAAGAGAACAUUGUCGAAAUUAAAAUAUCUAUUUUAUGAGUUAAAAAAAUAUUUUAGUAUUAUAUUAUAAUUUACUAUUAAUUGAAUUUCUAAUUCUUAGACUAUAAUAAUAAUAAAUUCAAAAUGUUUGAUUUUAUUAUUUUAAAUUAAAAUUUUAAAUAUAAAUUAACCGUAAAUAUUUAAAUUUCAUUUCCAAUGUUACUAUAAUAUAACAUGACAGGAGCUUUAUAAAUAAAUUAUGGACCGUUGUAUAUGAUCAAUGUAAAGUUGAAACCAUGCCACAUAUGCCACUACUUGACAGCAUUGAAAUUUCUAUUAUCAUAAAAAAAUCUGACUUCAAAUAGAGGAUGACGUCUCAAAACUUGAAAACUUGAGUCAGAACCUGGAGUUCAUCUGAAUCCUCCCUCCCCCAACUCCUGACAUGGUGACAGUCUGCUUUCUUCGAAUGUACGCAAUUGAACUACUUAUGAGGAGCAAACCCAAAACAGCCCCCUGCCCACCAUGAUUAAGAGCCCAAGCAUCAAUAUUAUUCUUAACAAUAAUAUUAUUUGAUAAUAUACCCCAAAAAAAAAAAAAAAAAUCCUCUCGCAGAGCGCUUAUAUUAUUCUUAACAAUUUUGCCCCUGGAAAUUACAAAAUGUUAAGUACUGUAGGUGAAAAAGCAUGUUCACAGUGUUUCUUUCCUCUGUUCUCACAAGAAUCAUGAUUCAAUAGUUAAAUAUCUUUUCCUCUCUUUGUCAACUUCUUAAAAUUCUUAAUCUUUGUAUAAACAAUGUGAAAUAUUAUGAUUACAGAUUGAAUUUCUAUCUUUUCUUCUGGUGGAUUUAUAAAGUACUUAGAUCCAAAAAAAAAAGAAAGGCACAAUUUUUUUUCCUUGGAAUAGGAGUUGAAUACUACUACAGUUACUCAAGCCCUCAUCAUAACAACAGGAAUUUCUAGUGCAAACUCACAUAAGCCAAACCCUUAAAGGCUCCAUUUUGAGGGUUCAGUUCACUACACUGGCUACAACAAUGAUGAUGGGCAUGGAUGUACAUCUACGAUAUAACAUUUAAGGCAACAUCCCAAGACUCUCACAAAUGAGCUUCAAAAGAAUUUUGAACAUUACUAGGGUAAGAUGAAGUACGAAGAAACGCAGGUCCUUUUUUUUUUUUUUUUCUCUCUUUUGGAUUGUAAGUAACACAUAAUUGCAAUUAAAGGAUCAGGACUUUAUAGAUAUAGGCCAUGGCUAAGGGCACAUUGCAAAAGACCAGAUUCAUCAGAUCACUUUGCCCCAAUAUCCUUUGGACACCUAAUACUACAUUAUCCUUAAAUAUUUGCAGUUCAACAAUAAUGAAGCAAAAUUUCAUGAUGAACUUCAUUAUUUGCCAAAGCACACCUAAAUAAUAAUUGAGUGCAUUAGAAAAGGUAAUCAGAUUGAACAAAGAGAAAGGCAUGAAAAUGACAUCAACAUACCUCAAAACCAACUACUGACAGCUUCUCUUCAUUAACUGGUGUUAUACAGCUUCUGUAAGUUAUGUAAACCUGUGAACCAUCCUCUAAUGUAGAUGAAUCAUCCAGUAAACCUCUAGGCUUGUUUGAAACAGUGCCAUGCGAAGACUCCUGUGCAUUUGCAUUUUCAUUGGAGAGCUCUAUAGAUGAUCGACUAUUCUGAGAUUUGUUCUCAUUUCCAUUCUUUGUACUAUCUUUAAUUUCGACACACUUUAAAGGGAUACGAUAACCAGUCUCGCUGCAACGAUAUUUUUCAUUACUCUGCAAGAGAACGAAAAUGAAUACUGCAACCAAGUCCAAGGAAAGGCCUGCUCUCCAGGAGAACAAUGAAAAAUCUCCAAAACUAAGCAAGAUAGUGAGCACGCAAAACAGUAUUUUUACAAUGCACAUGCAAAAUCUGAUUUUAUGCAUGAGCUUCCAAUGUCACCCACAUUUUAAGCAUUAACCAUGAAAUGUGAAACGAAGGGACACACGAUGGCUCAUCGACUGUCAAACGUCAAAAUAAAUACUGAGUGAUCCAAUAUACUUUUAGAAGCAAAAUAUGGAUGUUAUUUUUUUAUUUUUUUUGGCUCCUAAUCAACAGAAGGAUAAUUAUGGAACAAUAUACUCGAGAUGAAUAUGUUUCAUACUAUCAUUUUCAUAAUGAAAGCUCACAUAAUUGAAAGGACAUAGCAAUUUCUUGUCCUCUUAGGUCAACGCCCCCUGUUUCCUUGUGUUGUUCGUCAUGUGUUCUUUUGCCCUAAAUUUAUGAGACUCAAUCGACUUUUUUUUACUAUUUGAUUACAAGUUAUGAAAAAAAAAAUUAACAUGGGAUUAACAAAUGAAACUGAUGCAGAAAAGAUAAAUCAUCAGAUUCUGCAAAAGUUGAUACCAUCAGGUUCUGCAGAAGUUGAUACUGAGGUUGCUCAAAUAAUAACAUGGCCUUAGCAACAGGCAUUAGGUUGAAAAAUGGCGAUAUGCACAUUUCUCAUAAGAGGGUUUCCUUUAAUAACACUUUAACAAAUAAUUUGGAGGGUUUGGGAUAGAUGGCUUCAAAAAGCUUAAAGUGAGUUGAGGAAAAAAAAAGCUCAAACCUAUCCUAUUAAGUUGGACAACUUCCAAGGACCAUAGAUAUUAGUCAAUUAGGAGGUAUCAUACUGAUGAAUGAACAUACUAUAACCCCAAUUCAAUAAACUAACUCAACUCCCAUAAGACAAAGCUAUCAAUCCAGAUGUUAAUUAAGCUAUCUUGCCAAUUCUUUUGAGUUAUUAUUUAUGAGAGAAAAUCAAGAUAGUGAGAGCUUCAUGGAAUCGAGAUUUCUUUUAAAGUUGAUAUGUAACAGGACUCUGAACAAUAUCAGCAUUAACUUCCAGCAGCUUUUACAAGAGAUACCUCUGUAACCUACAAAAACUCUGCGCUCACCUUCCAAUUUUCUCAAAUUACAGGUUGCCGCCUAAAUUAAAAAAAUAACAGUUUAUAUCUAAACAACUAAUCACUGUACUUAAUUAAGCACAAGAUUAAGGAAUUGACAGAGAAUCACUAAAAUCAAUUAAACAAUUCUUGAGCUCCAAACUUCCUCAGCUUAAUCAAUAGAAGCACUUCAAAUGCUAACAUAUCCCGCACUCACAGAUAGAAGAUGAAAUUGAGGCGCUACAGAUCAACUCAAAGAAAAAUAAAUUAAAAAAAAAAAAAGAAUACCUUUUCAGAGUAGAUGCAGGGAACGCAGGCGCCAGAAGGAGAGCAAUCGAAGGUAAGGUUACUUCCUCCAGGCUUUUCUUUGAAACCAAGUAAGAUUCUGCGCCCAACGACACCAUUUCUGUUUCCCAAAUAAAAAGCUAAUUUACGAAAAUCCAUCCAAAGUUAGAACUUUAAUUUCAAUAGAUCAAGCACAAAUUUUACUUACGCUGUGUGAUCAAAGGCGUGAACGGAAGGUGCAGAGAGCAGUAACAGCAGCGCUAGCAAGCAUAUAAGAAAAGGAAGAAUCGCGCGUGAAUUCCAUUUCUUCAUCUCUCGCAUUUUCCCUGCGUUUCUUUGCUUCUCCUUCCGGUUUUUUAUUAAUCCGCGAAGAAAUUCAACGAAGUUUAACUGCACGAGGCCCAUGGGCCCUUCAUACCUUCCGGAAAAAUUCGGCCAUCGAACAUUUUAUUUUUAUUUUAUUUUUUGAAUAAUGGCUUUUUGUUUUUCCCUAAAAGCUAGCGACGCCUCCUCUGAAGUGUUCUCUCUCAGUGCGGCAGUGCAGAAAGCUUCCUCUCAACAGGCUAGAGUUUUUUUGGUGGGCUUUGGACUUUCUUUGUAGGCUAUAGACCACGGGCUGGAGCUUUUAUUUUUUGCUUAUUAUAUUGGACCAGAAGCCCCUCUUAGGUUAGGGUGUAUUUUAGUUUGGAUCUUUUGACCCAAAUCUUAAAGAAUUAUCUUGGCCUUCUAUAUUAUUUUUGCCUAAUGCAUUCUCAGCCAUGCUCUUAGAUUCGGUACAUAAAAGGCCUGUCCUUGGGCCUGGAAGCUACGCGACUCCAACCAAUCUUCGAGAACUACAGCUUUAGCAAUGGAACUUUGGGCUUUGUCUAGUCUUGAUAAAGGAAAAGCCGAAGGUGAUAAGAAUGGGGAGACCUGAUCUUGACAAGAAUACAAAUCCUGAAUCCACACUGAUUAGCAUUACAUUUGGAAUCAAUGUUUAUUAUGAAAAAUUACUUGAUCAUUUUUCUUGCCUUUUCCCUCUCUUUCUUCUAAACCCGGAGUUGGGAGGUUGAAACUUGGGCUAAUUUUUUCUUGUAUUAGCCCAAUAAUUCUUAAAGAGAAAGCAGAUUUUCCCAGCAAAAUGUUUGAUAUUGUUGCCCUAUAACUCUGGCCGACUCUGCUCAGUUCUGAUGAAGCAAUUCUUGGAGAUGAAAAAUGUUGACCUAUGGAAACAUUCAUUUUCUAAGAGAGAAUUUUAAAUGAAUUAUCAUAAAAUUGUACAGGAUUUCAUUCAAACGGAUUAAAGAAAUUUGGAGUUUUGUUUCCCAUCAGGCUCAGAUGAAGAAGCGCUUGGGACCAUGACCAUGCCACGAUGCUUGUAAAAACCCAUACCAGAGUUCAGCACUGGAUGUGGAUAACUAGAAUCCUGGUGAAAGCUUUAUCUUAUUUUAUUUUAUUUAUUAUUAUUGUUAUAUUUUGCUCAAAAGUCGCUUCUUCUUAUCAAUUACUCUCCUACCACACAGGAAAAUGGGAAGAAAAGGAUAAAAAAGAGAAACAAAAGAUUCAGAAUUUGACCAACUUCUUUAUUAGGAUUCCUCAUUGGCUAUAUAUUGCUAUCAAAACAAGAAUUAUUUGAAGAAGGGUAUGUCCCUUUGUGGUCCUGGCAAUGAUUCUCUAUAGCUAUGUCCCUGCAAGUAAAAUGAUCAAUUUAAUAUACGUCACGCAAUAAAAAUUAGCUGGGUUGGUGCUGGAAUGAAAUUUAUCAUCAUAAUUCAACAAUGGUUUCUUGGGAUAUGUCAUUUUCUUGGUUUUUUCAAUUCCCUUAAAACAGUUUGAAAUUUUAUUUGGCAAUGCUAAAUUAAUUACUCGAAAUUAUUAGAUAUACUUGGAUUACUGUUCUAUCAAAACAACUUAAAUAAAAUCCAACUUGUUUAUAAUUUCUCUGCUAUAUCUGCAGCAUUCAGUGGUUUGAUUCUUGUAAAUAUAGGGCUAUGGCCUACAAAGCUAGAAACAAGAAGAAAUGCCUUUGUGAAAAAACCAUGGAGUUAGUGGUAAACAUUGUUAAACUGUCAUCAAUCUCUCUUGCUAAUAUGAGUUUAAGAUCAACCCUGAGAAGACUGCCAGCUGCAGCUGCCACCGGACGUCUUGUGCCGGUGAUGGAAUCAGUCGAUGCCAUAAACAUAUCAUCUGCGUCUCAACAUCUUCCUGCAAGAAAUAUCAACUCACCAGGGCAAGAGGAGGAUGCGAUGGAAGAUAUUGAUGCAAAAGCUUCGAAUUAUAUCAGAAAGAUACGAGAGAAGAAUUUAAAAGAUUGGAACUCUGCACAACUCGUUCAAAUGAGUAGAUAGUGGUGAUUGAUCUUUUAGCUUAAUCUUUCUGCUCUGCUUUCUUUCUUUAACAAAUCAAGAAACUCAUCCAAAGGGGAACUGAUUGUAUUGCUGGAGUUUCUCCUUAAUCAGGAACUUUGUUUUCAAGUGAAGGUAUAUGCAAGAAUUUUCUUAUGGCCUGAAUUAGCCUCGUUAAUUAUGGAUUCAGGGCAUCUUGCAUGCAUAGAUGAAGGCAUAUAGAAAGUAUACAACUUCCAAUUUCCUGCUCAUUAUGCAUAGAUCGACAUGCUGAAAGACGCUAGUGCCUUUCUUAGGAGCAGAGGGAAGCAAAUUUUUAAGCCUGUUUAGUUUAGGUGCAUUCUAAUUUUCAUCUUUAACUGUAAUAAUAAUUUCUGCAUAAAGGAACAAAGUCAUGCUGUAGCUAAGUUAGCUAGAAAUCUUUGGGGAUAAAGAUAAAACCAAGAAGAAGAAUGAAAAGGGGAAAAAGAAAUUUCUUACCUAUAACAUUCUUCUUCUUGGUUUUAUCCUUAUCGCAAAAAUUUUCUAGCUACCUUAGCUAGAAUGAUUUUACAAUUCCUUUGUGCAAAAUUAUUAUUACAACUAAAGAUGAAAUUUAGUAUGCGUCUAAACUGAACUAUGGCACGUAUUCAAUAGAAAUUUAUUAUGCGAGCUAACAUGAUUUUAGCUAAUAUAACAUUAUUUAUUGAGGGGAUUUCCAUACGGAAUGCAUAUGAGAAUGUGUUUGAACAAAGAGGUGUUUGAAGAAAAUGACACGAGACCCCAUAAUUGCCAUGCUGCAAUCUAAGGAUAAUCUGGAAAUGCACCAAAUCAACAAAAGUGCGUAUUACGUAGGAGCUCAUAAUUUGGGACAUGUACAAAUCCAGCCUCUAAAGCAUGCUUUUGCUAACAAAUGGUUUCUUCCAUUUGUGCAUCUCCACAAAAAAUUUAAUAACAAAAUCCAGUUCAUCCAUAUGCCAUAUAGAACAAUAGUUCUUUUUUUAAAAAAAAAAAAAAAAGUUUUAAGUUCGGAGGCUAUGGUAUAUAUCCGGAGAUGUUUGGUCAAUUCGCGAUGGUNNNNNNNNNNNNNNNNNNNNNNNNNNNNNNNNNNNNNNNNNNNNNNNNNNNNNNNNNNNNNNNNNNNNUUUUUUUUUUUUUGGUAAUAGGAACUGAGAAUAGAAAUAAUUGUGUUCUGCUUUGGAGAAAAGUCAAAUUUUUUCACCUCAUUCAAAAAUUUUCACCAUUCAUUUAUAAUGGGGAUAGGGUUAAAAGUGUGUAUUUAUUUUCAUAAGAUGGGAGAACACAGUUUUGGGAAAAGUUUGUCGCUGGGGACCAGAAAAGCAGAAACUCAUAAAGUUAUAAUAGAAUACAAAACGAAAAGAUCAGGAUAAAGACUUGGAAGCCUGGAAAGUUUUCGAAACCUGAAUUGAAUGAUUCUUUUACUUAAAAAAACAAAAAGUUGGCAGCAAAACCGGAAACAAAUUAGAAAAUGAGAAGCAGAAAGAAUUAGAAAGUCUACAAUUACCUUAAAUAUCAGCUUCUAGUUUAAAAUGGACAAGGAAUGUUUUUCUUUUUAUCAUGUUUCUUUCAAAAGAUGAGCUACAUUAAGACUUCCGCAUUUCUUCCUUAUUAAACCAAACUCAAGGAGAUUCUAUAUACAGAUAUGAACAUAAAGAGUUUAGUUCCUGAAUAACUAGUAGUUUGGACAAAAAUAGUUACAGUAAACUAGCACAUCCUGUGCGAUUCUAGGCUCAGUAUAACCUUAGAAGUUUGCCACCAUCUUGAUUAACAGUUUGGACAAAAAUGGUUACAACAUCACAGCUAUUUGUUUGUUGUAAACGUUCCUUUUCUUCUAAUAAAUGAAUGAAAGGAAAUCUAAAUCAUUCUCCAUCACAUACACAAAAAAACAAAGCAUUAAAUUGAGUAUUCACAUAAAAAUUUAUAAACUUCAUCAUAUCUUUUGUUUCCCUGUUCAAAGUACUAAAAUAUCAACUAGCCUACCACUACCACUACACUACCAAUCAUAGAAGAAGACCAAAUUGAACGCUAAGAGUACUGGAUGCUCUAUCACUUCAGCAUAAGAAGCAAGCAUACAAAUUAAACAAGAAUCCAAUAUGUCUUCCCCACAAAAGAAAACGACAUUCCAUCUUUCUUUCCCCUGCUACGACCUGUACAAAAAAGAAAUGACCUAAAUCACCUACUAGCUGCUAAUAAUAUAAUCAUAAUUAACCAACCUCUUUUUUGCUAAUCAAUAUCUUUUCCCUGUUCAUUGUUCUCAUUUUAAUUAUUAGCUAAUACCAAAUUUUCAAUUAUGUAUGAUCAUAUAUGCUUAAUUGCACAUUAUUCUUCAAGCAACACUAAUGAUGCUGUCACCACCGGACAAGGCCUGAAAAGCUGAAGAAGAGUGCGUCGUUGUCGAUGCCGUUGGCGACUGCUCCUCUGAGGAAGGAGCAGAUAGCUUCAGUGAUAGCGGUAAGGGAUCUUUGGUGGGACUCUUUUGGUUCAAGUUGAGAUCAGCCAUUUUGGAAGAUGGAGGAACAGGGAUUAUUGGUAUUGGACGAAUGGGCUUCGGUGAUAUCUGCAGUUUGGAGCUGCUUGAGCCUAAUGAGAGGUUGUCCACCGAGUUGUCGCCAGUGCCUGGUAAUACUAAAGGGCUAAGCGAUACUGGGAAAGUUGACAUGGGAAAUCCUCCAAGAUUAUUGGUCAAGUGUGGUGGUGGUGGCAGGGGUAGAGCUACAGUUUCUUGCUCUUCUUCCAUUGAUGAACCUACAAACUGUAAAUUGAAACCACACAAUCAUUUAAUCAUGACAUUAACAUAUACCAAUGGCAAUAGAGAAAAUAGAUACAUAAUAUACUGAGCUGCAACGAGACAUACUGUAUCAGUGGUAAUAUCGAAGAGGCUAGAUCGGCGGCGGCGACGAUUUUGGUUGCUUCGCCGGAGAAAGUACUUUUGCGCAUGACUAGCGACCUGGGUAGGUGUACGUGUCUUGACAAAGUUUCUAGAAAUUCCUCUCCAAUCUCCUUUCCCCACUUUCUGCAACCCUAACAGGAAAAGCCUGUGUUCCUCUUCAGUCCACGGGACUCCUAAAAUAAAAUCCAACCCAAAAAAAAAAGAAUCAGAAAAUUGUUACUUUCAAAAUACUAAUGUUUCUAAUAAAAUACCUCUCUUCCGCUCGCGGCUCCUGCCUGAGGCAUGAACAACAUCGUCAGAUUCAUAACCGGCGGCAGCAUCAGCGUUGGGGUCCUGAGGCUGCUGCUCAUAGUCAUACUGGGAGAGAUUAUUCAUACUAACACUCUUUCGAAAGGAAGCACCUUCCGCCAUGACUCUGACACCAAAAAGCAUGAUACCAUUCUCUUCUCCUUUGACGGCAGCGGCACCACCAGAAGAGCUCUCCCCACAUGUCCGAGAGUUAUGGCCGUUGUUUCCACACUGUGAGCAACUGCGAGACAUCCUUAGACUCAGGUGAUGGCGUGAGAAUCAAACGCAAGGAGAGGAAGAUAUAAUUUAACAAUACAGCGUCAGGCCAUGCAAGAGAAAGAAAGAAAACGAAGAGGGGAGGUGAAGGAAGGAAGGUUUUUGGUUGAUAUAGCAGCUUAAGGAGUGGUGAUUAAUUUAGGGUUAAGAGAUUUGGGUGUGUUUAAACAAAUAUAUAGUGGCACAUGGAGUUUUCUUGGAUCACAAAGUGUGUUGCUAUGAUGCUACGCUUGUGUCGUUUGCUUUAAUCAUGUGGGGAAUUCAUCUACAUCAUCAUUUAUUGACCGUCCAUUAUUUUGACUUUGCAAUGUCGAUAUAAACGAGAUCCAUUGUUAUAGUGAUAUCCUACCCUUUAAAUGCUCGGUCGUUUCUUUUUUAAUAGAAUGUAAUUUUCGAAAAAAUAUUAGAUCAUGUGGGUAUAUUCUUAUGUUUCAACCAAUCUGGCUUUGGUCAUUGGUUGCUAUCUUUUGGUUUAUGCAUUAUUAUCAUUUGAAAAUUGUUUUCUCUUUUUUUCUUUAAAGGAAACUAUAUUAAGCAAAGAGAAGCCCUUCCAAGAAUUAACUAAUCUGAUCAGUAGAAAUCUUAAAUAAUAAGAUAUAAAAUUCUAAAUCUCCAAAUUAACCUAACUAAAGAAACUCUAAUUAAGCUAUAAAUCGUCUUAUUGACUAGUCUCUCAAUUAAAUAGAUGGUUCAACUCAAAAAGAAAGAGAAUGAGUCUUCUGAUUUUUCUAGGACUUUCAAUUUUUUAAAUUUUAUUUGAUUUUGACAUUCUAGUUCUCUUCCGUUAUAUUUUUUUCAUUUUAUAAAAUGAAAUUUCUUUAAUAAAAAUAUUUAUAAAAAAAAUAUAAUAUUCUUUAGUUUUCAAUGUUAUUAAAAUCAGAUAUAAUCUAUUUAGUAAUUAAUAUUAAUAGUCAGUGCAAAUACUAAAGAUAAAUUUCUCUGUGACGGGUAUUAUAAGUUUAAUUUAUGAGUUGAUGUUGAGAGUUAUGUAAGCAGUGGGAAAUUUCUGCUCACUAAUUGAGGCAAAAGCAAUAUUAAAAAAAUAAAAUAAAAGGGAUGGUGGAGGAGCAGAGCGUCUCUCCACCGUCAACUAGGUAUAUUCUCUUGGUUGUCCCUUCUCUGUGUCCUUCCCUUAUUUAAUCACCGAUGUCAUGGUGGUGAUAGUGGUGGUGGAGGAUAAGUGAACGCGGGCCCACACAUCAUCUCCAUUUACCUUUUCUUGUUUUACCCCUAUCCCUGCCAAUCCAAACAGCACCUUAAUCUGGAUCGCCCUUUUACUUCAGCCUUCCUUUUCGGCGGUGGUGGAGAUUGCUUUUCACUAUUAUUUUUUAAAAAUUUUCUAGCUGGGCCAUUCUUUUCUAUUUCUCUCUUGAAAAAAGUUGUUUGGAUUCAAAAAAACAGCCCAAUAGCGAUAGACCACUUAAGCAAUGAGAAAUUAAAGCAUUGGUCAGUGAUAUGAAUAAAGAAGAAAUGACAGGUGGGCUUAGUAAUGCUGUUGGAGAGCACGUGUUUUUCACUUGCAAGUAUUGGUUUUUCUUAAUGAGGAUGAUUUAGUAGAAGGUGCGUUUGGCGUCCGCAGCAAAAGUGGUGGGUUUUGUUUUUUCAAAAAAUAAAAAUGCCAUCUGAGUCGACGCGUACGUGGUUAGGUCACUCCGAUGAACACGAAAUUGUGGCGGCUAAAGGAAAUUUUUUUGCUUUCAUGUAAAUUUCUAGGGUAAAAUAAAAAUAAAAUUUAAUAUAGUUAAAUUAUAAAUCUAUAUAAAUUUGAUAUAGAUAAAUUUAAUUAUGACAGCGGAUAAUGCAUUUUCUUGAAAUUGAUUUCAGAUUAUACAUUGUGCUUACUUAUAAAAAAAAUGAUAAUAAUUUACCCUAAUUACCUGUUCAAAUUUUCACCCUCAUUUUGAUUUUGGCCACUUCCGGUUGAUGCAAGUCAUCGAUUGAUAAAAUGGGAUGUGGACAUUAUUCCUAAACAAUGAUAAAAGCAAUUAAUUGAAUAUUUUAAUUAAAAUUAUUUAUUUAAUACCUUGUUUGGCAUUCUAUUAAUUUAUUAAAUGGUAAUAAAUAUACAUUUCUUAAGUUUUGGGAUAAGUAAUUGUAAAUGUUUAGAAAUAAGGAACCAAUGGUGGUAGUAAAUAUGGAUGUGGACUAAAACCAAACUUGAAAAGAAAGGUUGAUUAGGCAUUAGUUUAAAGAAAUUUUUUUUCUACCGUCCAAUUCUAGAAUCUUCUACUUAUUGGAAUAAAGAGAGAGCAGUUGUUGUUUGUUUUUCAUAUGCAACCUUAGUUUCACGUAUAUCACAUUAUUGAAUUUUGAUUAAUCAUAUGGUGCAAUAUAGCAAUAUUUUUAUAAGCAUGCAUCUGAAAUAUAUAUUCACUCGAUCAUAAAUUUAAUUCAUAUUAAAUGUAUUUUACAUAUUUAUCAUUUAAAUAUCACAUAUUCUUUUUUUUUUUUUUAAAAAAAUUAUACCAGUGUACUCUAAAUAAGCUUAAUGACAAAGUAAUAUAAAAGCCAAAUAAAUUAUCCUUGAUAAGAAAUGAAAAUAGAGAGAGAAAAGAGCAAGAUAGGAGAGUAUAAGAUAAGAUAAGAAGAUGACAGGAGUAGUGGUAGGCAAUGAGAGAAUCCGUAGCCAUUCAAACAAGUGGUGGAAUUGAGCAUCAAUGUUAAUAUAUGUGAUGGGAUAUGAAGUGGGGACUUGUGAACAUGGGUGGGGUAAAAGGAAAUCUGAAUCAUGGCUUGGAAGUAUCCAAAUGGACACUUGAGCAUCAUCCAUAACUGUACUCUACACUUACAUGUAUAUUAACUCAAGGAUAUAAACUUCAUCACAUAAACUAAGCCAAUUUGCCUUUGCUGUGGAGACUGUUGACUUGGGAUGGUGAUAGGGAAGCUUGCUUGUUGGGCCUGGUUUUCUGCGAGUUAGGUUCUAUUGGGCUAUGUGAUUAGGUUGUUUAGGUUUUCUUAGGCCUUGUAGGGUGCUGUGAUUAUGUAAUUUUUGAAUAAAGCAUCAUUAAUCAUAAUGUAAUUAAGGUAACAGCAAAGAAGGAGACAGAAGUGAUUAGGUGUUGGGUGAAGUACAAGCAAGUGGUAAAUAAGAUGAGUAAACUUGUAGGGUGGAUGUAUGGAUGGAUGGAUGAUCCUACAAAACAAAGCACACAUACAAACAAGUGUCGGUUGAGGAGUCUCCAUCUAUCGCCAUCCCUCGAAAAAAGUCCUAGGAAAAUUUUGGCACGCAGUUUUAGCUAGAUGCCCAUCCCUUCCUUCUUUUACUGCUUCUGCCUCUCACUAUGCCUAUGUCAUCUCAUCAUCAAUUUCUAUGUGGUAAUUUAUUCACCCUCAUAAGGUACACUUUACAUUUUAGCCCUUCAAAUUUUAAUUUCCACUAAAUUAAACCUACAUGUUAAUAUCCUAGUAUAUGACUCAACUGAGUAUGUCGUAAUUGAAUCCAAAUACAAUUAAAGAGCACUGGACACUGAGAUAUUACCUAUGACCAAUAUUCUUAUCUGAGCAAAGUUCCUGUAAUCUUUAAUUAUAGAUCUAGUUGCGGAUAGCUAGGCCAUUCAUCUCAUCUCAUCUCAAAAAGUAUCAUCUCCUCACAUUAAAACUAAUAACAUUCUAAUUUUGAGUUAUUGUAAAUGGUACAAAUUUUAGUUAAAGUAUAAUAAAAAAAAAUGUUUACAAAAUCCAUAUGCAAAAUUGUGAGACUUUAGGUGUAAAAUUCAAUUAAACUGGAAAAAAUUACGAAAUAAACGCGGAAUCAAGCAAGUUGCGAAUGGGCCUUCAUCCCCAAAACUUCUCAUCUCCUCACAUUAAAAACUGAAAACAUUUGUUAUUUUAAAUUGAAAAUAUAGGUUUCAACUGCUAGAUUAUUUCGGUCUCCUGCAGCAAGAUUGUCAGUUGGUUGAAGCCUAGUGUCUUUGGGUUUCCAGAAGUCUACUUUCCGUUUUUUGAAAAAAAAAAAUGUUUGCUUCUUAUGUGAUUUUCGCAUAUUAUAAUUUUUUUUCUUAAUGAGAAAAACAAAAUUUAAAUACAUUACGAUAAAUAUAUAACAAAAUUAUAGUAUUUCAUCUUAAAAUAAGACUUAUUAAAAAGUUACUAAAUAAGAACAACUAAAUAAUUAAUCAAGUUAAAAGUCUAAAAUCUAAGAGAUUCAAAAUCUAAAAGACUCAAACUCAAAUUCUAUAUUCAAUUCAACUCACCCACAUUGUUUUAAUACUGACAUCCACAAACCUAGCAGCUUCUAUCACUGAUUUAUUUAUUAUCGAUAAAUCAGUGCCGAUUGCAUUAAAAAAGUGACAAAUAAAUAAAUAAUAUAAAGUUAAAAUCACCCAAACGAUAAAAAAAAAAUCCGAUGUAUAUGCUAUUGCGAGCAAAAUGAAUAGAAGCCAACCACCAAGCAGCAAAUGAGAGGCAAGAAUAAUAUUUUGCAAAUAAUCCAUCAAGCCAAAAUAGAAGCAAAGGGAAAUAGAAUACCCUAGGAUACAGUAUCCUCCUUCACUAAAAAUAGUUAGUCUACGGCGAUUUCAAUCUCUCAUAACUAUAAAUCAUUGAAACACUUGCCAUACUUCGUCAAUAAAUAAUCACCAACUUCCUAUGGCCAACGAAAGUAGCACUCUGACAAAGGCUUCAAAACUACAAAAACAAUAACACAACACAAUAGCAUAAAAAACAAUAAAAAUAAAACAUAAUUAAACAUAAACAUAUAGAUAUAGAGGCAUCAUUCAUCAAACACAAAGGAGCUCAAAUAGCUUGCAAAAUACUCAAAUGUCCUCUUUCGGUUUUUAGACUUACUUGAAUCGUAUUAAUUUGUAUUGGGUUAAUAUUUCAAUAAUUUAGUGUUUAUUUCAUAAUUAAAAAAAUCAAGAUUUAAAUUCUGAAAGGUCCAUGACAUCCCUCAUCACCUUCAACAAUUGUAGUAUUGCAAAAAGGAUUAUGAUUUUCUGAAUAUACCCAAAGCAAAUCCCAAUUUAUAUUUGGGAUGUUUUCUCUUAAGGCCUCAAUUUGGCACUCAUGAGCCUAGUACAGCCGUAAGUAUGCAUAAUUGAAUUGUGAAAGGUUUUAAGUUUAAUAUUCUAAUCCUCUCCUAAUUUUAAAAAAGAAAACUCAAUUUCACUUGCGUAUUUGUUAAAAAGUUUAAUUUAACUAAUUUUUAAUUUUUUUUAUCAAAAUGAAUAUUAAAAGUUUUAAUUUAGUUUAAAAUGGAUUAAUAAAGAAAAUUAACUAAAAAUCAAUAAAUUAAUCUUCUAAUUUUUAUUUAAAUUAUGAAAUCAAUAAAAUUUGUUUCAUAAAAUUUAAUUUUUAAUUAAAUUGAAUAUCCAAAUAGGUGCAUCGGUGGAAUUGAACAUUUAGGUGGACAAUUGAAUUAACUGGUAAAUUUAGCCAAAUUCAAAGUCCCAACAACUUUAAAAUGCAUUUGCUAUAUAUAUUAUAUUUUCAAGAAGGAAAAUCGUCAUCUUUAAUAAUAUAUUAAUGUGUUAUUAAUUAUUAUUAUUAUUAUUUUUUCAGUUCUUUUAAGUAAUAAAAUAUUAUAUUGAAUUAUUACUUAAGAAAUUGUGAAUUCCAAAAUUUAAAAGUUAGUAUCAAAUUAGAUACAUGUGCAAUGGAGUGGACCUCGUAACGUAAAAAAUAGCUAUUGAUCUAAAAUAAUCGAAUAAGUUUAAAUUAUCAGAAACAAUGCCAAUUAAAAAUAGUCAUUUUAUCUUUUUCUUAUUACUGAAACUAAUCCUAGAUACUCUGACUUUACCACAAUUUAUCUUUCUUCAUCAACUGCUUUCAACCAGUUUAGAAUUGAACUCUCCAUUAAACCACAAUUAACCAUAUCUUCACCAAGAAAGCAUCCCAUAUAAUCCCUUAAAACUUAGCCAGCUCCGGCCAUAUCUGAACUCGUAUUGAAAGCCGCAUCCAACAUUUAGCUUCACCAUAUUAAAUUCAGAUGGACUCCAUGUAACUGCCGACACAGCCAUGGGCGGGGUUUUUUAAUUAGUUUGUUGUCUUGUAAAUCUGGUCUCUUCAUUUACAGCCCUCCCUCCUCUUGUUUUCUGAAAGAUUUCUUCAUUAGUCCCAAAAUUUAGGUGCGCUAUAGAGGGUUAAAGCCCAACAGAAAUUGGGUCGCAAAACCCGUAUCCAAACAAGGACGACACCGUUAAAAAGCUUGAUAUAAAUUAGAAAUUAAAAAAUUUAAUAUUUACAGAUUUUGAGGUUUAUGUAGCAGAAAAAACAUUUAAUAUAAAAUUAUUAUAAAAUAUUUUAAUAUAUAUUGAAAAUUGAAGCAAUUAUCUAAGAAUAUGAAUUAAAUAGUAAAUUUAAUAUAUUUUUUUAGUCUUGGUGUUGUAUUGAAUUUUAGGUCUUUAUUUGUGUUAUGAAUGUUUAUUUUUUUAAAAAAUUGAAAAAGGGUAUAUUUGAAAAAAAUUACAACAUUUGAGAAUUUAAUAGAUAAUUAAUUUAGCGUAGAAUUUUAAAAAUAUUGGAAAAAAACAAGUUUUAUUGUGACACAGACAUACACAUAUACAUAUCCAAAGCCGAAAAGGUUCCGCAGCAGACGCCAAAAUUCUCCGCAGGUCUAUUUUCUUCCUUUCCUUAAACCCCUAUCCUAAUUCUACUCUCUCUUCUUUUUAGGACUUCUUUUAAUUGGUUGUCCAUUUUUGUCGGUCAUUACUGUCCUUAUCCGUCGUGUCUGUAACUCAACUUGUCUCUUUGAUGAACCGACCACAUUGUAAUCUUUCAAUCGGUGUUGUUCUUCGAUUCAAUUAUGCUUCUGCUUUGAUUUUCUUCUUUUUUUUCUUCUUUGGAUUUCUGCAUCUGCUUCUGGUUUUGUUAUCGUUCUCAUUAUGCUGAUAGGGCUUUCGGUUUUGUCACCGAAACGUUGUCGUUUCCAUGUGUUAGCACUCGGAAAUUCCAAAGCCUUUUUCAUGGGAGAGUUGCAGAAAUUUUGGCGGGUAUAUGAUGAUUGCUUUUCGCGGUAGGGAUUGUAGUGUUUUGGUAGAGUUGUGGCGAUAAUGCUGGACGAUAGUUUUUUCUUUUCGCGGAAAUUUGGUUCUACUGAUGAUAUGAUGGAGUGGAAAUCUGUGGUUGUAUUUUGUUUUAUUUAGAUUUCGAUUUAGUUACUUUUCUGCUCUUGAUACUCCUAAGUGGUGGUAAAAUUGUUAGGAAUUAGUUUGAACGUGCAAACACAAUAGUUUAUUGUUGAUGUAGGCAUUUGGAUAUACUAAAUUUCAUAGAACAGCUUGCAUUUGUGGGAUUCUCUGAAUGAUGAAGUAGCUCACAAACUGCGCCGGAAUCUGGAUGUUUGUAGAUGAACAAAUUAUUUUUAUAAAAUAAUUUUCCAGUAUUAUGUUUGUUAUUGAAGUUCUAUUAAUUGUAUAGUUCUUGCAGUAUGAAUAAACGUGCAUAACUGAGAAAGAUGCUUGCAAAGGGAUACAUGUCAGAGCAGCUCUUUGGCCACACACCAAACUAUCCUUUCUCAAAAUUUGCAAAUCUGUCUCAGUUCAGAGAAAAUGCUUUAAAUCGGUAUCCAACAAAUGAUAUGACUAGCCUGAGUAACUGGCGCAAAAAUCCCAGAAUCAGUUGCUUUCGUGAUUUAGUUAGAGAGGAAAUGUAAGUUUUCUGAGUUUGCCUUAACUUUAUCAAAUAUUUGUUAUUAACAUAAACUCCAAGGAGCAUGAGAGUAUGUAAAAGAUUUUACAUUGAAAGAAUCUUGAUCCACUAUAUAUUUUACGACUGUUCUAAUGCUUAUGCAGUGCUGAAAGCUUUGAAUUGGAAGAAAAUCAUCAAGUGCAAGAGGGAGAAUCUAAUCUAGUAAAUGUCUUAGAACACAAAUUAUUUGCAGAAGCUGCUUCAGAGGUAUGUUCAUUGGAUAUUUAAACUAAUAUUUAGAUGAUUCCUAUUUUUAUUGUUUAAUUUUUAACUCGAGUAUUAGCUUACACAGUCAAACAAUAGCCUUCUGUUGCUUUGCACCACAUUUUAGUUUGAUACACUUUUGUGAAAAUUCUUGCAGUUUAGUUCCUCUCUUGAAUUAAAAAUGAUGUCUGAUGGCAUCACUAACAUUAAUAACUUCUUGGUGAAGUCUUCAGAUAAAUUAACUAGAAAAAGAGGGGAUGGGGAUGAGAGUAGUACCUGUUGAAGAAUCAGUUGCUUUCACUUCAUUUCUUGUUCAUUUUUAAGUUUAAAGCUUCUUCAAAUAUUUGUUAGGAGGAGGAUAUGAAUCUGGAUGUAUUGAGAGAGCGAUUGCAAAAUUUAUUUCAAAAGAACGUUGUUGAAUAUUUCUAUUCAUUUUCUUAAGAAAUUAUCUUCAUUUUUUUUUUCAUUGCCUGGUUAUUUCGUCCAAAUCUGUGGAUGAUUCUAAGAGUCUACCAAGCAGUAAACUAAUUUCAGAAUUUGAAUAUUUAAUGCAUGAGUUGGUCUAUAGGGUUGGGAGGGCUUUAAAGUAAUAAAUAAUUCCAGGUGAUAAGCGGUUGUCGAAGCCGUCAAAAAUAAACCUAUUAAACAAUCAACAAUAAACUUGUAGAUAGUGGCAAUAGGGUCGAACCACAGGGAAUUGACACUAACGAUCUUCCUAAUAAUAACCAAGAUGAGUAAAUAACGAAUAAUUAAAAGAGGGGGGUUUGAGUUGAUGAAUUAAAACUAAAUAGCAAAAGAAAGCAAUAGUUUAAAUAGAUGAGAAUUUCAAUGAGAAAAAGAUUCUAGCUGAAGUGUGAGUCUAAUUCAGUUUGUUCAGAAUUGAUCAUUGAUUAUUAAAGACUCCUAUUUGAUUUCAAUAAAUCAGUUUUGGUUGUGGAAGACGCUUCUCACAAUCCAAAUUCCUCCUUAGUUCUAGUUUGAUUAGGAAACAUUCGCUAAUCAAACACUAAUCAACAAGUUGCCAAGGAACGUCCUUGGGGCAUUGUAGCAUCGAACAACUGUUGACUGCAUUAAGACUUAGAGAAACCCAAUUCUAUCCUUGCCAACCGCGUGGUCAAGUUUAGAUCAUACAACCUGAUUAAAUGUGUAUUUGAACAAUCUAAGCAAUUACGGACCUAAAUCAUUCAAACAAUAUUACAAGGCAAUUUAAAAGCAAUGGGCCCUUAUUGAUUCUAAAAGCAAAGUAAUAUUUAAAGAAAAGGUCAGAUUGCAUAAAUAUUGAAACAAACAAGAGUUCAACUAUGGAGUAUUAAAUCUCCCAAUUCAUCACAAAUCUGAAUAUUCUCAACUUCAACUAGAAAAUAAGGAACUUAGCCACUCAUUGGUGGACUAAAUACACAAAAAGAUGAAAAGAAAAUAAAGAAGAACAACUGCAGAGUUUCUGGCGAGGGAGAGAUGCUGGAUGAGGCUGAUCAGAGAUCCCCUUGCUGGCUUGGAGGCUCUCCUUUUAUAGUUGCAGAAUUUUAUCCAUCUAGGGUUUUGAAAUCCCUCUUUGAUUUGGUGUUGGACUCCUCUUUUGAUGUUGAAUUUAAUUGCAAUUGGAUUUCCUUGGAUGAGAAGCUCUUUCGUGGCUCUUGGAUAAGUGCUGGAAGUGAUUGGANNNN